CAGACAAGAUGAUCAUAAAUGUUCUUCCUUGAGCUGUGUAACCCGCUGCACUCGGUGAUGGACUGGUGAGGUCUCCCCACAAACAAGGGGCUGCUGGAAGAGAGUAGGUGAGUUGUGUUUAGUCUCUUUGCUAAAGAAAUCAGGCAAAGCUAAAAAGAUGUUUGGUGGCUAGUACUAUGGCUGGGACCCUAUAUGUACUGUUGAUGAAGUUAGGUGCCGUUCUGAGCAUUGUUUGUGGCUAUAGAGUGGCGUUUUGGUUGAGGUUUGUUUGUGGCUCCUCAGACCACUGUGUAUUGCUAUCCUGCAGUUGUUACUAAAGUUGGUAUAACUAGAGAAGCAAGCGGUCUGCAACAUUCAUCUCUGAACAGGGUGUCUAACUCGGUGUUACAGUGUUUUUGACCCUAACUUAAUUUUACGCUGGAAUAUCCCUUUAACAGAUAGAUGCAAGGAAACAUGAAGAGGGAGAGAGGGAAAAAGAAAAUGUAAUGAAAAAAAUUAUAUCCUCCUGUAGUGCUUCAUGUAAAUUGACAUCCUAUACUGAUAGCAUCAGCUGACCACCACUGGAACAGCUAUCAGUCAAGCUUGACAGCUGUUUGUAUUAAUAUAGCUGAGUACUGUAAUUGGACUCAGCAACUUUUUCAGUAUACUAUCUGUCUAACAAAGCCAAGCAUACAGACCAAGUGUGCUCACACUUCAUGUCAUGUUCAGAACACUAAUAAAGAUUGUAGCCUAUUUGGACAGUUCAUUCUCUCAUGAAAGCACCACAUUGACAACAAACUGUACAGCUGCUCCACACCCUAAGGUGCAUCACACCCCAUCAUGCACAAGGGUGCAAGAGCCCGCUGCUAGAAGCUUUAAUGGGUGUUGUUAUCUAACGGGUGUUAAUGAGUGUUACCUCCAAGGUGUGCACUCACAUAUUGAGAGACUUCUUUAUUUCUUUUAAUAAGGAGAAGCUCAAACAAUAGUAUCAGAUUUACUCUUCCACAACCCCUCUCUGCAUGUAUGCACCUGUCAUUGUAUUCUUCACAUGUGUAAGGGGAUCUUUGUGAGUGUACUUAUCUUAAGUGUUUUGCAAUUAUGUAUUUAUUUGUUUUUACACAAUGAGUUUCUUUAAGGAUGUUCUGAGCAAUUUAAUGAUAAAAACUAAAGUUAUCUUGAGGAGCAUUCUGGUGAUUAGAUUAAAUUAAAUUACAGCACAAUGCUCAAAUGUUGUUGUUACGGUGAACCUGCCAGUUAAGUCCCAUUGCAAGUAAAGGCAAGGUACUUGGGAGUUCACUGAUAACAAAUAAACUGCAAUUAUUGAGAGUUAAGUCUCGUCUGCACCAUAUUGCUCUCAGAUGCUUUCACAAGAUGAGAAAAGGAAGACGGUUAAAAAAACCCAAAUAAGAUACCAAGAUAUCAGGAUGCAGUAACACACAUUUCCCCUCCUUUCUUUCAUUAUAUGCAAAUAAAUAUAGAUUCACACUGUACUUGCUUCCCAUGCUGUUUUAUUAUUUUUUUUCGUUCCCCUUGUUUUUUUUUAUCUGUCUUUAUUGUUAGUUUUCCUCUCAUUGGAGCCAAUUUCCCUGUAUUGCUUUUCUUUCGCCUCACAGGGGGUUUGAACAAGCUCACUGAGGCAUCACAAUUAUGCAGAAUUUUCCUACGCUGAUGAAUGUCUGUGCUUUUUGCAUCACACCUAAAUUUACUCUCUUCCUUUCGUAAGCUCCCAUGAACGUAUAUUCUUCUGUUUUCAGUUGUGUUUAUUCCCUGUUUAAGUUAUUGAAUGUAUCUCGCAUUGUCCUACCUCUCCUUCUUUAUCUCUCUUGGACUACAUUUAUAUGUUUUAUGUUUAGUCUCUAUCUUAGCACUCACCCAUAGUCAGCUGCUCCCUUGACCAUGCAUUCCAUUACAGCUCAGCCUCCAUUGAUUUGCUCUCUGGCUGAAGUGCUAUUGAUUACAAUACAUGCUUCAUUGCAACCGAGCAAAGGCACUACCACUGUGCAAAAAUCGUAUAUACAAAAGCGUACACACAAGCACACGGCAAUCUCUUACACACAUUGUUAGAUUCUCUUUUUCUUCUGCUUUCUCUCGCCUUCAUUUCAUAUGUACUUCAAAACACUUGGCAAUAUACAAGCUCCUUUUCUUACAUUCUCCUCAUCUCUAUUGUCGGUACAUCUCAGUAUUCAUUGGCAUAUUGAUUACUUCUGCCUGACCAUAAGACAUACAUCCUUAUGUGAAAUUCCACAGCUGAUGUUUUUGGAAACGAUUGUUAGAAAAGACAAGCUGGAAGGACUUUGAAAGAAACAGCAACUUACUGAGUUUUUCCCUGAAAGGAAGGCCUCAGAAGAAACCCUUUCAGGUUUGUGCAAGCAUGUGAGUUUGUGUGCAUGUGUUUGGAAAUGGUGCAAUAUGUUGAGAGGGUCUCAUUUACCAAACCAUGAAUUUAUGUAUUUAUGCUAAUGUUGUAAGUGCAAGUAGUUUUUAAUGAGAGAGAGAAUGAUAGAGAGAGGACGGGUCUGAUGAGGCAGGAAAUGUCCAAGCCUGGGUGUCUCUAGAAGUGACGUAUUCACGUGCCAUGAAACAGUAGAGGGAAUUUGCUGAUGUGGAAAACUGCUGACAGGCUCACUGCCAUGUGGAAAAAUCCAUACAUCAAUGUGCUUUUACAAACACUCCUCAUUCUCUAACUUCUUAUUUACAGUAUAUGUUUACCUGUUUGUUUGUUUGUUUGUUUGUUUGUAUGCUCUAAUUUUUGUGCUCUAAUAUUGUCUAUUGUCUUAUUGCUCAUGGCCUUAGAGGUGAUCCAGGUAUCAGGAUGUGGCUGCUUUAGAGCUGCCACCCAAAUUCUGACCAGAACCAGGGAAGGACAGCACGUCUCUUCUGUAUCAGCUUCAGUACACUUUCCUCCCUUUAAAUUUAAGAUAUAAUUUCAAAUACUUUGUCUGACCUACAAAACUCUUUAUGGUCAGGCACCAUGAUAUUGUUAAGAGCUUAAUGUUCCCUAUUACCUUUCCAGAACAUUGUGGUCUUAAUAUGCAGACCUGCUUAUGGUAACCAGUGGUCUGGGUGGUAGAAAAUUCAGUUAUCAGGCCCCUGUCCUCUGGAAUGAUCUAUCAGUCGAAGUGUUGAGGCUAAAAACUUUCAUUUUAUGGAAAAGAUUACAGAUAGUAAGUCUGGUUCAGGCCUUGGCCGGCUCUUAGUUAUGCGGCUAUAGUUUUUAAAUACCAGGUUUACUGGCACAUUGAGCACCUUUCCCUCCUUGUCCAUCCUGUUUCCAUCCACAUGCAUCGACCACACAUGUGUCCUGGCAUUUUUCUGAUGCUAGAGGACAUAUCAUGAGAAAACUAAGUGCAAAAUUGCAUUUCAGAGUAUUUCUGCAUUCAAAUCUCUGUGAACUUCUCACAGACCCAAAUGGCAGGCUCAGACACAAUGAGAUUUCCUGAGUCACAAAUCCAAACUCCGCCCCCAGUGGCUCUGCUCUGCAGGCUAGACUCCAAAAAGUACAGAGGAUGAUGGUCGUGUGUGCAGUAGCGCAUUGCAAUGCUUGUAAGAAAGCUAAUUAUGAUGUUAGCUUUCAUCAUGCCCAAAGACAUUAGUGUCCAAGAGCUGAAUAGGUCCUGUGUUACUUGCCACUUCUACGGCACCGCCAAUGUUAGGCUACAAGCUAGCAUGAAGAGGAGUGUGCAGAGAAGCGCAGUCUCCGCCUACAACUAAGAGGACAAUUGCAAAUGAGCUACUGGAGCUCUGCAGUAUGAAAGCGCUUGAAUAUGACACAGAUAAUGUGAUUUUGGCUUAAAAAUUAAUAAUCAUAAUUGAACGACCACUGAGAGCACUUAAAAUCAUAAAAAACAACCAAACAAAAAAGAUCUGAGUGGGACUUUAAGAUUGUAGACUGUCUAUUAAAAGUGGUUAUAGCCCACGGUUUGAAUAAAAAACUGUGCAAGACUGCACAACACCUACAGAUCUAAGUACAUAAAUUACUUUAUUAUACCUGUUUAUGCUCUCAUUCAUUAGUUUUAGCUUUGAAUCAAUACAGCUUAAUGAUCAAAUUUUACAAUAUUUUCUCAUUAAGAGAGAAUGGCAAAGCUAUCUACAAUUUACAUGUGGCAACUAUAGUGACCUCUACACCAGGAUGGAGACAAAGCAAUGACAUUUCAACCUGUCAUUUAUAUGUGGUCAAUAUGGAGGAAAGUUAAAAAAGAUUAAGACAUAUUGCAACAUUUGCUCAAAAACAAUUAGCUAAUAGUUGCCAUCACAGUUAAUAUGUCUGCAUCUUUUUCACAGCCCAUGCUCAAGAGACAUACAUACUGUACCAUCAGGUAUGUGAGAGGUCAGUUGGUAUUGGAGAUGAGGAUAAAUAUAAUUUUGCAACUGCUAUGAAAUGAUGUAAUUCACAAAGAAUGUUAUGCAAUAUAACAUUUAUAUAACCUGAUAUAAACAGAAAGGUUUUUAAAAGGAAAGAAACACAGGUCAUAAAUAUCCAACAAAUAAAAAAACAGCCAUAAAUAAAAUCAACAUGACAACUGUAAAGUCCACUGGCGUCCUUGUAUCAGGGGCCGGUGGGGCACAGUCUGACCAGAGGGCGCUGCUUUGCAGGAGAGGCUUAUAUGCUUUUUUUUUUCAUUAUUAUUAUUAUUUUUUUUUUUAGGUUUUCCUGUGUCAAAAAUGUCGUUGAGUGUAAGUUAAUAAAAAAUUCAACUUCGUCCACACUAAGAUGUCUGCAGUUUUCAUUUGAUGUAUGCAGUUUCCCUACUCUCUGUUGUAGGGAUGCACGAUAUUUAUCGGACCAAUAAAAUAUCGGCCGAUUUGGGGAGAAAUUACGUCAUUUUUUAUCGGUCCGAUAGGUGCAUUUUUCCGAUAGAAAGAUCCGAUAUAUUAAUGAAAUUACGAGUAACGUUUGCAGGCGGAGUAGCCGCCCGUCCGGGACGCGCUGGUUAAGUCAUCUAUCGCGCCUUACUCACAGGUCCCAAGCCUGACCCCGUCACUACCUGACAGAUAAUAAAAUGUCUUCACCAGCAUGGUCGUUUCUCUCAGUGGCAGAAGAUGACAACAGCAUUGCUAUAUACAAAACCUGUUCAGCGCGGAUUCCGAGAGGAGGAAAGAAGACGUCAAGUUUUAACACAACGAAUCUGAUAGCUCAUCUGAAAAGUCGCCAUCGCGGCGAAGCGGUAGUAAAAGAAUAUGAGACAGCCGCCGAAGCUGCUAGCGGUACUAAAGCUAAGACAACAACACUACGGAGGAUCGAUGUCCCCAUUCAGCAGGCGUUUAAAAACUGCAAAAGCUUCUCAAGAGACAGCGAAAAGGCUAAAGCCAUUAACGACAAAGUGAUGGAGUUCAUAGCGGUCGACGACCAGCCUUUUUCCGUCGUUGAGAACCCGGGUUUUCGUAAGUUAUUAGAACACUUGGAGCCACGUUACACUCUCCCAAGCCGCCGCUUCUUCUCGGAUGUGUCUCUUCCUGCACUCUAUGAUAUUGUCGCCACAUAAAUUCACAACCUGAUCGACAAGAACGGACUACACGUGAGUUUUACCACAGACAUAUGGACGUCAGAUGUAAGUCCGGUCAGCAUGCUAAGCCUAACGUCUCAUAAUAGCUCCUUUACAGUUUACAGUUCUGUUGAACAGUUCAGGGGAUCAAAUGAAGUUCUGCUUUUUGCUCUGUUAUUGUUAUUUAUAGCAAAUGACCACAUUUGAAGAGCCAAAAACUUUUGUUUGUUGUUCUAGAUAGGCCAGAGCAACAAAAACAUCAGUUUUCAAUCGCUGCAUCCUGCACAAACUGCAGAUUAUAUGAAGAUUAUAAUAAACGUAAAAAUAUGAAUUUAUCGGUUAUUGGUAUCGGUAUCGGCCAUGAGAAGAAGAAAAUUAUCGGUUAUCGGUAUCGGUUGAAAUUUUUCAUAUCGUGCAUCACUACUCUGUAGUGCUGUUGUGUGCGAAUAGUUAAUUGUGCUUCUGUUUCUUCCAGUUGGGGCACAGUCGAGAUGGCGAACGGCUGCGUGUUCAUGUGCAGCGCACACUUUGGUGUCGGCAGUGGAGCCUGAAGUUCGGGGCCCCAGAGUGCUUCUUAUUGGCUGAUCAGAUGAAAGAGUGGAAACUACACGCGAGCUUGGCGACCAUAGUAACGCAACAUGACAAAGUGAACUUAUCCAAGGACUGUUGGAUUUUAACAGCAAGGUCACAGAGAAGUCUGCGCACAACAAGGACCGCAGAGCGUCAUACCUCUUCAAAAAGUGAUCCAGAUCGGUGAGUCUAUUAUUCUACAUGGAAUUUAUGAUAUAGUUUACAUAUUGUUUGAAUGAAAGUGGAAUUUACGUAAUGCGCAACUGGUGGUACGUGUGUGGGGGUGUGUGUAGUCACAAUCUUGAGGGAGCUGUUCACCUGUCUUUGGUGCUGAAAUGGCUGAUUGGCUGUGGCAUUAUUGUGUGUGGUGGCUUUGAUUGCUGUGUAUUGGGUGUGCGCCGUUCACGCCUUUGUAUUUUUAUUAUUGCCACAUUGUUUUAAUCUUGAGUAUUUGAUAUUGUGAGGCCUUGAACACUGCCAUUUGAUGGCGCUAUUGGUAUGAUAAUAUAAGUCGCCAGAUUGACACUGUUUGUGUGAUGGCAUUAUUCAGCUGCAGUUUUGUUGUCAAAGGUGCUGAGUUCCCCUCUCUCACUUGCUGAUGUGUUUUUGUUGAGGGUAUGAGAGUAAUAUCUGGUAUUUCUGGAUUGCAUUAUGAGAUUUUCCUGCAUGGUCCCACCAGAAUUUCCAGACCAAAAUCGCCCCUGGUAAAGUCACAAGAAUAUAUUAUAUCAGGCAGGUCACUUACUUCAAUGGCUGCCACUUGGAGUCUAAUGUUUUUGUUUUACUACUUUGAUUUGUUGGAUUUGCUCAGGUUUAAGUCCCCCGCACACUCUUUCCUUUGGCUAAGAUUUGGGCAGAAAACAUUUCCAACUUUCAGAUUAAAUCACUGUGCCAGCAAAAGAAGCCUAAACACUCACUGCCUCUGCACGCCCCAUCAAACUGGGAUUACACACAUGUAGCCCACAUACUCCCAAGCACACUACACACACCAAAAGCACGCGCAUUCAACAUGCACACAUCGCAGGGCAAUCAAUAGCGGUGGAGAUGGAUGCCGCAUGCUGAUGUACGCACUGACCUUUGACCUGUGAUUGAAUGAGGAGAUUUCACACACUUAAUCAUGAUAGGGCCAUUCCCUCCACAGGUCAUCUGCUGCUAAAUGGUUGAUAAGCCAGCACACUCUGUAUCUGUUGCUCAUAUGUUUACUGUCAAAGCAGUGGGCUCAGCUGACUGAUUUCUACUGAGUGUGAGGAAGCAAGAGUUUGUGCAGGCGGUUUAAGAGAAAGUGGGAUCCCGAAAGAGUCAGGGUAUGAGUGUGUAAAGGAGAGAGAGUGCCAAUCAAUUCCCAAAGCCCCCCCCUGCACAAUUCAUAUCUCAUCAGAGAAAAAACCCACUGGUUCUGGAAACAAACAGGUUGGAAUAUUGCAUUAGUAUCACUGUUAACAUGCCCGCUGAUCCAUGAACCGUUCAAUGGUCAAUAAAUUCAAUUUACAAAGAACAAGUCCAGAAGUAAACUCUUUGAGAGAGAACACGCCAUGUCUGUCUGAAACAACUACUUUGUUCUCAAGUUUUGUUGUGCCCCAACUCAAAGUGGAUUUUUACUGACUGCUAUAUAGCCUAGAUUAACUAUAAUAUCCUCGACAGAAUCACAGAUGCCUUUAAAAUUACUCCAUUCAGUUUAGGAUGAUAUUCAUAAACUGAAACCACAAAUGAAUAGGAAUCAUUAAAGUCCAAUUUGAUGUUUACAGACUCAUUUUCUGGUUUGGCAAAGGAAUCUUAUUCAGUAAACUUGCAAAGCUGCAAUAACUUGGGUAAUUGGUUAUGAGUAUCCGUAUUAGAAGCUUUUCAAGUAAUCAUCCCAAAAUCACUCAACAGGAAGAUGAGAUAAUUCAAGCAGUAGGUGCAAGAAAAGCAGGUAAAAAUUGAAAAGGAAAUUGAAAACAAUAGAAAGACGUUUGUGUUCACAUAGUGCUGGACGAUAAUUCGAUAACAAUAUAUAUCGAUCGAUAGACGUGUGCUGCGAUAGAAAAAAAACGGGUCGAUAAAAAGUUCGAUAGAAAAACACAGUUUCCCUUUCUUUUUCAUCAUAGCCUAUCAUGUAGCUUUUGCUACAGUCAUUACUUCCUCCCAACCAAUCACAAACGCAGACCCAGGUACGCUACGGCACCAAGCCCAGCCCCUAUCAAACCACAACAGACAGCACGUGUAUUAGAAAAAAUGAUACAGCAAGGAGAAGCGGAGGACAUUGUCAGUAGUUCACCAGCAUGGCAAUGUUUUGGUUUUUAGAAGUCUGACAAAAAGCGAACAGCGGUCGUUUGCAAAAUUUGCAGAGAAUUAGUAAAAACCAAGUCUGGUAACACAACCAACUUGUUUUACCAUCUAAACCGGUCGCACCCGCAGGAGUACGAGCUGUGUCGGCCGCGCCGCGGCUCCACGUCGUCGGAGGAGGAAUCCUCUGGAACCGCUGCCAGCACCAGCACAAAGCAAGUGAAGCAGACCAAACUGGACUUCGUUUCUUGCCAAAAUACGACAAAGCGUCCGAGCGGCAUAAGGACAUCACCCAUGCAGUAACAUGCUGCAUAGCGAGGGACAUACUGCCAAUAACUACCGUUGAAAAGCCAGGCUUCGACCAGCUUCUAGCCACUCUCGACCCGCGAUAUGAAGUGCCCGGCCGCAAGUAUUUCUCAAACACAGCGCUUCAGGCAUGAAAAUGGGUCAGGGGUUGAAAAGGUGAGAAGAAUGCACCCCUGCAUCCCGUCCACUCAUUAGCUUCUUAAAGUGGAAGAAAAUGAGCUCAUAUUUUACAAAGACGCGAGUAUUUGGAUCAUGGCUACUAGCAGGGGGUGCAUUCGGCAGGGGUGCAUUCUACGACACAACACCGGCGUGGAUAAGUCCUGCUUCUCGUGCUCAGUUUGCGUAUCAAGUCAAUCACAUGAUAAUUAAAAAAAAUAAAUCUCCCGACCCCGGGAGAAAUAUUUCAGUGUUCAGACACCAGGCUGUGGGCAGUUUCUCACACAGUUAAAACUGGUAGUAUGUUAUUCCCACCUAAAGCUAUUCUGUUUAUUUAUAUAUUUGUUUGUUUUGUUUAUUUUCAUCAAAAGACUAUUUAAAUAUUUAUUUAUCAGAUUUUCUGGUCACUUUAGUCUUUAUGUUUGUCAGUAUUUACUGACAUCACUCAGGCCCCUUAAGUUGAUUUCUUUUUUUUUUAGUUCUUUUUUAAAAAACUUUCAGUUGUGGUAAAAUAAAAAAGGUGGUUGAAUAAAGGUUUGAAUUUGAAUUCAGUGCUUCUGUGUUCUUUAUUAAAAGUAGGUCAUUAAGCAAUAGCAUAUAACAUCCAGGGCUGCAAUUAAAACAUAUGUUAAAUAAUUAUAAUAAUUAUAUCAAUAAUUAUCGAUAUCGAUCAAUAUGAUUUAUUUUUUAUCGAUAUGCUUUUUUUCUAUAUCGUCCAGGCCUAUGUUCACAGUUAUUCUUACAACUUUGGAGUCAGUUCAGUUCAUUGUUUUUUUUUUUUCUCUGAGGCAUUUACAUUUGAUGUAAAAUGUCGAUGAUUGUGUGUCUAAAAGGGAAGGAGGCCAAACUGGUUCUUUUGUGUUUUAUCACAAUAAAGAUGCGACUCUAAGGAUUAUUGUUUGUUAGCUGGUUGGUCAGUCAUUGUUAAAGGUUGUAAUAUCAGUGGUAUCUGUGUGAUUCCCAAAGAAUGGUCAAUACUGACUGUUGACCAUUUAAAGAUCUUACAAGAAGGUGGUCUCUGUAGUUCUCGGAGCAACAGUUGUACAUUUGUGAUUUUUUUGUCUAUGAACUUUGAAAUUGAAGGUUCAAAUCAGAGUCAGUUCUCAAUCGCAGGGUUUUAAUCAUCUGCCAUUGUCAAGUAAAAAUAUGCCUGGCACUUAAUUUGUUUUCACAAGGUCUGUCUCAGGAAGACAUUCAUAUUAAAUCUAAACCUCAUGCCAAAAAUCUAAUGUUACCAAACAUGAUACAAAAAGUUUUGAACAAAGCAAACAAGCCAAAUAUUGUUAAGUAACAAGAUUUCUGCCUCGUCAUCCAUAUUCUUCCAUCUUCCUUACUGAAUGUUUACUGAAGUUUGUAGACACAAACACUUUUCUUCAGCAUGUCUGUUGUCAAAAACUGAUAUUCAUAAAAUCACACUUCUCUCAGAUUCUCACAUCUUCAUUCACAGCCAAAAAACCUCGACCCAGCUGCUAAUCACCAUCUCUUUUAGCUUUGUCUUCAUCUGCCAAGAGUGUCAUUAUUAUUCCAGUACAUCACUCUUGUGGUUUCUGGUCUUUCCUCCCUUGGUUAGGCCUCUAAUUGAUGCCAGUUCAUAAACGGAGUUGUGUCCACAGACAUCAAGAAAUAGGAUCACUUAAUAAAACUAUCAAUCAGAAUUGCUGGUUUCAUAUUUUUUAAUAAAGCUCCAGGAUAGAGAUUUCUUGUGUAUAUAGAACAGCAGUAAAAGGUAAUAAUGAGACCUCAGUAACAGUCCCAGCAUGAGACACGCUGACUCUCUGAAGUAUUCAUGCCCCUUCAAUCAUUAUAAUGAACGGUUUUAGCUAUCUGGCUUGGUUUAAGGAUAAUCUGAUAAGAUUAUAUAUAUUAUAUUAUAUUAUAUAUUAUAUUAUAAACUGAAACUGAUUCUUCAGUUUAUUUUAAGAAGAUGCAAUUUGAAAGAAAAAAAUGACCAGUUUCUUAAAAAACAUUUUAAACUUGUAAUUAUAAAACAAAAGAACUGCCAAACUGGCCUUCCCAUGAUCCUUAGUGAUAGUUACUAUGCUAAAAGAUGCGACAGAGCGGUUUGAGCGCCAAAAUCUUACGUUGUAGCAGAGCUCUGGUUAUAAUUUUUUCUACAGUCAUAUCUUCCUCCUUCAGUGUGACCCUCCUGGCGCUUUUGAAUAAUACGUAGGAUGCGUCCAUCUCCAUUACAGCAGGUUAGCCUUUCUCUACCGCUCUGGCCUGGAGUUUUUGGUCAACAUUGUUAGCUACUUUGUAGCGCAAUGUGCGAACAGUAGAAAAGCACCAUGGGCAAUGGGGACAUCAAUAACCCUAAAACGAAAAGUAGAUUUAUUAUUUUUUUUUCAUUUCCAUCUCUAUUAUAUAUUCUGUUUUGAACUGAAAAUACGAAAACAAACACUAAUCUUUUAUUUUUUGGUUAUAUAGAAAAACAAAUAAACAAAAUAUUGACUCGUUUUUUUCGUUUUUCGUUUACUAGAUUGAAUGGAAUAAUUGAAUGGACGGAUAAUACACAGACCAGAGAGAAUAUCAUGAAGUAGAUAUUUCACUCUGAUGGACCUUAUGUGCACAAGAAAAUAACUUGACUGAAGGAAAUUGUAUCCUUGAUGCAUUAUUUGGCUAAAAUACAAAAUAUCUGUCAAACCUUGGAUUCAGUCAGGCUGAGCACCCUUGGUUUUAUAUUUAUGGGAAAACAGCCAAUAGUAUAAAAGAUCGUAUUAACCUUAUUAUGAUCUCUCCUCUGCGUGAGUUUGUUUUUGUUUGCAAACAGGUCAGUCAAAAUGUUUCUCUACUGUGAGAAGCUGCCUUCGCCACAUUGUGAUAUUUAAGGAUUCACUUUACUCAUACACACACACACACACACGCACACACUAACAUGCAGGAUUUAGCAGGACAUUUGGAGGAGAGUAAACAGAGAAUAUUUCAUCAGCUGUGUGAGCUGGCAAUAUUAGAGCCUGUGGUAACAGCAUUACAGUCUAUUUGUUUGAGGUAGUGAGUUUCUCUUUCACUCUUUCUCUCACUCUCCGUCUCUAUGCAUGCGUAUAUUUAUGUGCGUGAGUACCACAGCCUAUAAUUGUAAGGAAUGUAAGCUUACCUAAAUUGGUAUAGUUGGUAUUCACGCUAGUUGCAAAGAAAAAAGCCACAUACAGUAUGUAUUCCUCUGCUUCAUGUGAUGGAGUGGCUAGGUAAAUUCAGGUACGAUCUUUGUGUUUGACCACUGUGUUUCAAUGAGAUAAAAGUCUAACAAGCUAAGGACACGCUUGUUCCGCGAUUAUCCUCUCUAUUUUUCCAAGUAUGGCAUAGCAUAGUGGGGCUCUGGAGGCGGAGCUUGGAUUUGCUAUGUAAGAAAUCUCACUGUAUCUGAACCUGACAUUUGGGUCUGUGAGAGAUUGACAGCGAUUUGAAUGCAGAAAUACUCAGAAAUGAAAUUUUGCGCUUGGUUUUCUCACGAUAUGUCGUGUAGCAUCAGAAAAAUGCCAUAUGAACAUGUAGACAAUAAAAAACGUGAUUUCAUUGGAGUGGGUCUUUAAAGACUUUUCAUGGUAAGAUAAUAAACAGAAGUGCAUUAAUUGGUAGAAAAUCCUUAGAAAGGGCAUUGCAGUUUCCAUGUCCUAAAAAUGAAGGUUUUUAGGUUCAUCAAAUUGGAUCCUGGAUCAAACUUAGAAACCUUGUUACUGUAUCUUUCCGAACACAAGUUUAGGGUACACAAAUCCCAGACUCUGAAGGCUACAUGAUACAUUAAAUUUAAAAAACAAAACAAAACAAAAAAACACUAGAAUCCCCAUUAGAAUGAGAAUAAUCCGUUUCAAUAUCAGGAGCAUGUCUGUGGGCACAAAAUUCUGGGAUUAUUCUCACCGUCUUUGUUGAGAACAGAAAAAAAAAAAGAAUCUUCGAAGCACCAUCAUUGCUGAGCAUCUUUCUUGUUAAAUCUGCAUGUCUUAUUGCAUAAACAGUAAACUUGGACCACCUCUCUUUUUUUUUCUGCUUUGAACCAUAAGAUCUGGCCUUAGGCUCACACAUCUCACAAUCCUCUGAUUGAUUUCAGGUCAAAAAGAGGCAAAAUGAUUAUAGAUCAGGUUAUAGUUCACUCAAGCAUAUAGCUACCCAUUUUCAUUAGAAUGCUUGACCGCCUCUAGCCCACCUUCAAGGACAAGCAAUGGCAGUAAUGGCACAUAAUCACUACCAGUAUCAGGUCUUUCCACUAACUGCAUUACUUAGUCGCUACCAGAUUUGUGAUUAAAUAAAAAAAAACAUCAAACCCAUUUAUGAAAACGGCAUCCCCCCUCCUGACACACCCACAUACACACACUUCCACUGCCUGUAAGUGAUGUGUUUAAAUAUGCUGUAAAAAAAUGGAUAAUUGAGUUACAAAGUUUUAUUUGACAUCUUUUUCCAAGAGGCACUUCCUUUGUACUCAUCCCUUGACUUCAUCAACUUCCCUGCUGUCCCUUUCCUAACCUCUCUUUACUACUCAAACUCUCCCUCAUUCCUGCUCGUAAUUAGGUCCCAUGGCAUCGUCCUCACUGUCCAGCUGUGAGGGUGUGUGUGUGUGUGUGUUUUUGUGCUUGUGACGUUGAUAAUAAACACAUAUCACACUAUUAAAGACACAUACUCCACUUAUCAUAUCAGAGCUAUGUGUCCCUACUGACUUGGGAGUUUAAGCGUGUUUGCGUCUUCUUUUUUUCUUUUCUUUAUUUUGGAGCGUGGCUUUGUGUUGUGCAUAUUAAUCCGGCAUGGGUUCUGUGUGUGUGUGUGUGCAUGUGCUUUGUGGAUCUCACGGCCGUGUGUUUGAAAUAGAGACAGCCACAGACAAAGCAAAGAGAAAGUUGAAGGACAGUCCAUGCACUUGAAAAUCUACCUCAGUAUCAUACACAACUCACAAGUAUUUUUAUUUUCUUAGCUUGUUGUGUGCAGCGUUAUCCCCAGCCUGUGGGGGGCAGUGUGACUCCAAUAAUCCUGGUGACACCUGAGGAUUAAAUGUAUAAACUAAACCAUACAGUAAAACAAUAUUCAAUUGAGCUUGAUGAAAUUGCAUUAAGGUUAUGUACCAUGAAAGGUCGUUGCAUGGGUGACUACAAAUUGCAACCUUAUUUCAUCAAUGCUACAUUGAGUAGGUUGCAGAGUAAAUGCUUCCUCUGGGUGUGUACCAUGUUGAAUGGUGUCUUUUUGGUAUCUAAUGAGGUACAUUUGAGUUACUCUGAAAUAAGUCCUUGCCUUUGUAUUAAAAAAAUCUGUAACCCUCUUCAGGAUUUUUACACUAUGCUCUCAUCCCUGUCUGCAGAGGUAACCUUUUUCUUCUGCAGAAAACCCAACUUUUUUAUUGCCUCAACUAGGGCUGGGCGAUAAAACGAAAAAGAUAUAUAUUGAAAAUUAAUUUCCUUCAAUAUCAAUGUAAGACAUGAUCAAUAUCCUUUUAGAUAGUCGGCAUUCUGCAAUGUUUUGGUAGACUAUAUGAAUAGCCAAUUAAAAGGGACUCCGUCUGGGUCCGCUAUGCGCUGACCCAAUCAUGUGUUGAAUUAGAACAGGCUGCAGCUACACGCAACCAUAACACUUUAACACGUGAAGCCAUGAAGAAAAUGAGUGCUACCCCCGGCAGGAAUGCAGAUGAAGGCUCAACAGAGGACGACAUUGUCGACAACAUUGUCACGAAAACAUUGAUGGUGUGGAGGUAUUUUGUUUUUUUGAGGUCGGACAUGAAGCAGAGUAGUGUGCACUGCAAAUUAUGUCGAGUACAUGUCCUCACAAAGUCAAGGAAUACCUCAAAUCUUUUUCACAACCUGAAGCUGCGCCACGCAGCAGAGCACGCGCAAUGCAAAAGGUUAUUAACCCCAAGUGGAGCAAGGAGCCCAUGGCGCCUGUGCAGCCGAAACAGCUGACCAUUCAGUCCACUUUCUCUAGUGCAACGCCUUAUGACAAAAUGUUGAAGAGACACAAAGACGUCACAGAUGCAGUAACUUCUUGUAUUGCAAUAGACAUGCUACCAAUGAGCACUGUUUAAUUUCAUUUUUUUAUAUUGUGAUAUAUAUCGACUGAUAUGAAAAAAUAUAUUGUAAUAAACUUUUUCCCAUAUCUCCCAGCCCUAGCCUCAACCCAUGAGCACAACAGGUGAUCAGAAUCCAGAGAUAAACUUCUGGAUGUCUGAUGUAAACCCCGCUUAUAAUGUAAACCGACCCUCUUUCCCUCAGUGAGCUUGAAACCCUCAGAGGAUGCUUUGGGCUGGUCUUCACUCCUGUUGUGCUCAGCCUGUGACAACACUCUUCAACAAAUGGUGGCACUGCCUGAGGAUGCAAAUAAAUGCUUUGACUCUCUGUUGGGUGACAGAGACGACACCAGUGGGUGUCCUGGCUUUAGGCAAAUGCAUCAACUUGUACCUUUUUGGAGUCUAGAUUUGACUCACCCUGACUGGUUGCUUCAUGCCGUUCAGUAACCUCCCCCUUCGGACAUGAUGUCAACCCCUGUUUUUCAUAGAGUCAGAAUGUCACUCUCUUUCUUUUCAGUCGCAGAGAGUCUUUUUGGCUCAACACUGCGCGUUUCCUGGAGGCCUCAACAGUGGCACGGGUCAGGAUUUGCUCCCUUUUUAAGAAGCUACUGCUGAUGUGUAACUUCGGCAUAAGACAAAGAGCACCACCAGUCCAUCAGCAGGGUAUUUCAGUUUUCUUUACCUACAGGAAGUUCUGCCUUAACACCAAAGGGGGGCAAGGAAGACGCAGUGGAAGCUGACAGUGCUCAAAAGUUUAAAAACCCGCUGGUCUCUGCCCAGCAGCAAGUCUUCUUCCUCUUCAUCACAGAGGAAGUGAGAAGCAGUGAACCCAGAGUGCUGCAUCAAGCAGUUGCUUCAAGAGUCUCCAGGUAGAGCUCUCACAGUUUGUCUCUCUGCUGAGCGAAAGUGGACCAAGGUCGGGAUUAGCACAGUCAUACAGGAGAGUUCCUGUACAGAUAACUGGGCUCAUCCUGAUUGACUGGGCAUGUAAAUGCAGACUUAAUUGUUUGGAGGUUCAAAGUAGAAUAAUCAAGACUUGGAAGCUCUGCCAGGGAGCAAAGCCUGUGUAGAAAUGUAAAAUAAAUUGUCUUUUGGAGACAGGCUUUUGCUGACAAGAACAGAAGGGGCAGAAAGGCAAGAGAAAACAAGAGGAGGAAGAAUUCAGUGCACAGUAUUUUGAUAUGCCCUCAUAUUAUCCUUAGUGCCCCAUGGGAGAGAACCUUUGUGAUUGCUCCAUUGCUCUUUUAAAUCCCCUCGAUUACUGUGUCUGCAUUUCAAAUGCUGCUCUACAAAGUACACUACUUCUGCAAGCCCUAAAGCCUUAGGGCAAGAACUAUUGCGCACUAACUGGGGAUUAUAGGCUUGUAUUUGCCAUUUUCUCCUUGUUAUUGGUCUUCAGUGAAUAGCUCCAUUUCCCAUGUAUGGGAGCUCUCCUACUGUACAGGAACUGAGCAGAAGUAUCUCUAUGCGUAGUGAUACAUUGGGCAGCAUGCUGAAUUAUUGAUUGGUUCCCAUGGAUGAUGAUGAUGAUGAUGAUGAUGAGACUUUGUAGUGCUCUGGGUUAGCUCUGGGGCAGGCACUUUGAUUAAGAACAGUACCCUCUCUUCCUGCUGCGAGGGGGAGAGAAACAGAGAUGGAGCAAGAAGAGAUGGGGAUAGGUGAAAUCUAAUAGAUUUGCAAGUGGACAAUAGUUCUCUAAAACAUUUGGACAGUGAGACGGAGAGGAAAGGAGAGGAAACUGAGGGAAGGAUAUGGUUGUAGGGGAUGCAUAACAAAUGAGGAAAGGGCUGGUAAAAGAAUAAAGAGAAGGAGGUAAAGGAGAAAAUAUGAGCCAUACAAAUGGAAAAAGCCCACUGUAAAGACAGUAAAUGUUUUACAGUCUUUGGGAAACUGCUCUGGGCGUUCAGCCCAGCACUGCCAGGGCUGAUUGUAAGACCGUUAGUCAAUUUCUUUGCAGUAACCUCACUAGGUUGAUGUAGCACCACCACAGUUGAAUGCUGUUCAAUUUUCAUACCAGGCUCUCUAUUUCUGCUGUACAGCUGGAAAUUGAUACACUUUGUCUGGUCUAAGAAAUUGUCCUGUAUGUUCUUUUUUUUCCUCUGGUGAUAUCUGUAAUGUGGGGCUGUAACAUUCUCUGAGGACUAUAAGGAGCAGAAAUGCAACAGAUUGCAGAGCUGUUUUUUGCAUUUUCUUUUUCAUUUUGUUUAAAAAACGACCUUAAAAAUGCUCUCAGUUAAUAACUCAACUUUGGGUUGAAAAUAACAUUAGCACCAAAGAGACAAUGUCUCUAUAUUUCCAGCUUUGAUUUAAUUAAACUCUUAGUGGUUCAUUGUUUAAUUUCUUGAAUCUCUUUUAACCUUCUUAAAACAAAGGAUUCACAAUAUUCCUAUUUAGCAGCCGGAUAAAUUACCCCUUCAUUUUACUAUAUUAAGUUGUGAAUUCAAUCUUCUGGUAACGUAAAAACCAAACAAAAGCGUCACUAACACUUUCUUCUUUUCAUCCAUUUGCUUUCUGGAGUUUCUCGGUUUCUCUCGAUUUCUCAACAGCUUUGCUCUCUUUCUUGUUCACAUGUCUCAUUCACUCUACUUCAAACUCCCUUUUACCUCAAGUUGUUUAAAAGACACAGGGGGUUUCUGUCUAAAUUAGGGGCAGUCAAUAGAGAGAGUGUGCCCUAAGGUAAGGGAAACUGGCACUCUGCAAAUAUAUCUUAGCACUGAACACAGAGAGCAAGAAAAUGUGUGAGCUUAAGUGUGUCCUUCCUCAUUUUUUUCCCAGCAUACUCGAUACUCAAGUAUGAAAUGUAACUGGACGGGUGUUCUGUUGCGAGCACAAACUUGAGAUGCAGCAUAAGGACCGGUGACAAAAGAUGCUCGCUGGAAAGGCUUUAGCUUCAAAUAUCAGCGAGGAGUCUAAGUGCGCUGGAUAGAAAUAUGUGUCUUUGUAUGAAAAACUAGAUUUGCCUUUUGCAUGUGGCUUUAAAUACAUGUGUUUGUGUUGUGUGCGUGUGUGUAUGUGUGUGUAUAGGUCAUGAUAAAUAGUAGCCUAUGUAUGAGUUUGAUUAACUGCCAGUGAGGUCAGAUUACAGUGGUCAGCCAAAAGGCCAGAGGCAGCUUUAGUUGUCAAAGAGCACAACACACACAAACACCCACACCCACAGAUCCAAUUUUUCUUUCCUGCAGAAUUUCCUCAUGCAUCCCUGCAGUAUGUGUGAUCACGAAGUACAACCAUGGCCAUUGCAGUAGCCAUAGAUCACACGCCUGUUUGCAUUAAGGAGUAUAUGUAGCGCUCCUGAAAAAUUACCUGAGCUGGUUUAGCCGCAUGUUAUUACUCCUUUUCCCUCACUAGCUGUCAGACAUAUUCAAACACACCCACACACUUGCUUUAUCACCCACCUGUUGCUGUCUCUGACAAAUCUAGCUAACUGUUUCUCUGUGUCUUAUGAGAGGCUGCGGCAGAAGCUUAGGCCUGGGGAAAGGUCAGUGAAUAAACCGGGGUCUCUGUGCUUUGGCACUGGGGGAUCUUACAUGUGUGGAGAGCAUUCAAGCACAGAGAAUGGAAGAUGAUCAUGUAUGCAUGACUUAUGUGAUAAUUUUACAAAAAUAAAAUGAUUGUAAUGAGUUUUCUGAUUUGACAUUCCGAGGCCUGGAUUAGAAAACUGAACUUGAAGGAGUUGCAGCAACUGCCUACAUAUGGAUGCAUAUGCUUUACAGAGGGGCUAGAAGGGUCUGGAACAACAUUGGUGCUCCAGCCCUGAGUCUGGAGAAGACAAAAAGCAGUCCUAGUUUGCCACAUAUAGACAGUUUAUGAUCUGCCAAAUGGAGAGCAGGGACGGGGACACAGAGUAGUGCCCAUCAUGGUCCUUCUUACCCUGUCAAAAGUCCAGUUAGCUAUAACACCUAACUUACUAUACAUUAUCCCCGUAGAGUAUAACCAGCCAACCAUUCUCAUUACUUGUUGGCUUUAGGUAAAAAUAAAAUUAAAAUAAUAAUAAUGGCACAACAUCUACAAACACUGGAUUUUGUUUUUUGCUUGGUCUUUAAAACUUAACAUGGUUGUUUUGCAGCCAAACACAGAUAAUAAAGUUGAUUGGUUUUUAGUCACUAAUCACAAAAAAUCAAAUUAGUACAUCAGUUUAACUUCUAUUGACAAAAAUACUCAGAUGAAAAUUUUGUGAAGAUGUUGUACAAACACAGCUGCAAUUCAGGCCUCUUGUAUGUUACUACAAUCAUGUGUGUGUUGUGCAUAAAACAGAAAUAGGAGGCACACAGAUGGUAAAUCAAUGUCAUUCAGUGUUUUCUGUGGCAUUUAUAUCCUUGCCUUCUGUGCUGCAGCAGAGAAUGUAUUACUCUUCCAUGUUCAUCAUUGUUCCUGUCUAGUUAAGGAACACAUUUUUUUUUGUGUGUGUGGAAAAAGCUCCAAAUACUGUUUUUAACACCCUUUUUAGCAAGAGCCUUAAAGGGAUAUUCCCUUUAAGGCUCAGUGAUCGACUCGUCAGGGCUCCCCUCACAAACAAGCGGCUGCUGGAAGAGAGUAGGUGAGUUGUGUUUAGUCUCUUUGCUAAAGAAAUUAGGCAAAGUUAAAAAGAUGUUUGGUGGCUAGUGCUGUGGCUGGGACCCUAUAUGUACUGUUGAUGAAGUUAGGUGCUGUUCUGAGCAUUUUUUGUGGCUAUAGAGUGGCGUUUUGGUUGUGCUUGGGUCGUGGAGACGUAGACUGCUGUGUAUUGCUAUCAAGCGGUCGUUGCUGAAGUUGGUGUAACUAGAGAAGCAAGCAGUCGGCAACAUUCAUCUCUCGAGGGGGUGUCUAACUCAGUGUUACGGUGUGUUGAACCAUAACUUAAUUUUACGCCGGGAUAUCCCUUAAAGUGCUGUAUACCUUGUAUGUUUGUGAUUUGUUCACAGCAGCUUUACCUUCUUUUUUUUCACCUGAAUACAUUUUAAAUCACUUUCCUUUUAUUUGUUUGCUUCAUUUUUAAACUUGUUUAAAAUACAUUUUAUAAAGUAAUUUUUUUUCCUGUACCACCCUUGAAAUAGACUGUAAAAAUAAAGCAAGAAAGGAAACUCUUAUUCAAAGUCAAGGGGGGGAUGCAGAAUGGGAGAACCAAGACCAUGAAAUGAGGAAAGAAGAUUUAAAGACGGUAACCUCUAUCUCUCUUCACUUAUCUCUCUACUCAGUCCAUUUCCUUCUUUCCUCCAACACUCCUCUCUUUUAUCCCUGAUAACUCAGCCUGCUGUCUGCAUAAUAGGGAUGGAAAAUGUUCUUCUACCUCCCAUUUACUGGCAGGACAUAGCUUAGAUUUCACAUCUCAGUAGUCCUCAAUGAUUCAUCAUCAUGUCAGCCAUAUGAGGCUGAUUUUACAUGCGUUAACAUCUUAAAUAAGUACAGUAAUGGCUCAGUCAUCAAGGAAUGGAUGACUUGUGAUCAGCUGACUUUUUUUCCCUUAACUUUCACCGAGUGAAGAUCUGUUGCCUGCUGACAGUCACAGUAUUAAACCAAAGCCCUUUGCAUUUGGCUACCUCAUAUUCAGACUCUAAAUGUUUGAGCUGGGCAUACACUGUGAUUUAGACACAAUUUUUAAGUCACAUGACUGCUCCAGAAGUCAGGCCGAAUUUUAGCCUGAUUCAUGUUGUUUGUCAUGCAAUGUACAGAAGUUCAAGAGAGUUGAUCAUAGUCCAAUCAGUUGGCUGAUUGCACACCCUGGCAAAGAUAAAUCAGGACAACAACACGAUAACAGUUUCAGGACUUUGUUUCUGUGUGAAAUGGCAACAUCUCAACAUACUUUGUGAUGUGAGCAAGUGGAAUAUGUGAUGAAAAUCAUUGGCUGUAUAUACUAUGGACAACUCAGUUCCGCCAAUGUAGGGAUUUGAAGCUAAAAAGCUCUUGUUAUUUCUGGGUUUCUUUUCUACUUCCUUAAACCAACAUUGCACAUUAGCAUUGUACGCAUUUGGUGGAAGAGUCGCAGAGAGUCGCUGUGAUGACGCUCGGCUCAAACAGCGUAUCCCCCCUGGGUGAGCUAUGCAAUCUCUGUACACCCAUAGGCUGUAUCAAGUGUCAAUCAUAGAAAACAUGAACCCCUAAUAACUUAAAAAUGGAGCUGUAAAGAAAAAAAGAGGACUUGAGCACAAACCAGUUUUACAACAACUACAUGUCAACAUCGUAGCCAGGGAGGAGAAAAAUUUAUAUUCUGUUUAACAAAUUCCUAAAGUUCGUCCACAGCAUAGGGAUGGCUGGUAGAGGCGGGAUUUAUGACCUAUACUGCAGCCCGUCACCAGAGGGUGCUGUUCAGCGAGGAGGCAGAUGCGUCUAUUCUAUAUACAGUCUAUGGAUGAAACACACUGUGGCAAUAGUAUUGUGUGGUAAAAGUAAGUGUGUUGCAUAGAACAGAGGCAAACUGGAGCAGUAUUCUCAGAAUUACAUCUACCAACUUGAAGUUAAAGCAUACCGAUUCUCAGCUGUCUUCUGAAAUGAGCCUCAUAGACACUGUUAUAGAUCUUUCCUGCAGCAUCUAUAAACCUUAGCAUAAACAGUAGAUUGAAACACAAAAGGUUGUUUCUUAACUAUAGAGAGCACAGUUGGAGUGCAGGGCUGUGCCAUUAUGUGUCUGUAGACAAAAACAUACACAGAUCGAUACCUGGGAUAUGUCAGACCUUGGAUUGUUGGUGUAUCUACAGAAACUACACUGCAACACCCUGCACUGGUGAUCAGGGACUUGUCUUUAAUGAAAAACCCAUGUGGCGCAUAGGUGUAACUGCAUUAAUCAUUCAGAACCCAGGCCACACCAAUGGUGUCAGACAGGAUUUAUCUGUGUGUUUCUGCAUGCAGAAAAUGCACACUGAGCCAUCAGUAUCCUCACGCUGGGGAACUUAGUGUCAGGAGUUGGUAUAUGUCAGAAAGGUGCUCACUGAACGAAAUAAUUAUUGUUGAAGUCAUAUUCUUUGACUGUAACUUCUGUGUGUUUUCAAAGGAAACAAUGUUAACUGUCAAAGCCCUGUCUGGAUUUGACACACUCACACACUCAGCUGGUGUCUGCAUGGGGACUGUUUUUGAUGCCUACCAGCUCAUGAUUUAUGUGCUCAUACUGUACUGCCCAAAUAUCAAAGAGUAAAUUCACUUUCCAUUGUGAUUUUUUAUUAACUUGUACAGUCUCAGGCCUUAAUCCUGAGUUUAACUUAUAAGGAGUCCUCAACCCGACAUAGGCCCUCGUGGCACCCAGGGUUGACAAACUGUCUCCUCUCAGCUAAACUUUCAAUACUUGUGAAUACGUCUUAUAAUACAUUCAUACACUCCCUUUUUACUGCCCUAUUGUCUUCCUCUUCACUGCUCUGUCUCCUUUUGUAUUUGCCCAUCUCACUUAUCUACUUCCUUAUGAUACCCUUUCUAUCAAGCUCUGUCUCUUUCUUCCUCUUCUCGUCAGUCGCCAUCCGCUCUCAUUCCCCCCUUUCUUAUCUGACUCUUCACAGCUGUCUGCAGUGUCAUUCACAUUUUACAGACGGGUGCUGCAAGUCCACCUGUGUCUCUCCUCCUUUCUCUCUUUCUCCUCUCUCUAUCCAUCAGGCUAACAUAUCUCUCUUGGGACCAGGAUUUUUUUACCCCAUAAGUCUUUGCUUUGGAAUAUAAAAAAAAAAUUACCCGCCCCCGUGAUGAUUGCCAAUACUUUGCUGGAGGUCUGGAUGUGACAGCCUCUUGUACUAGGUCACCUUGUGUUGGUGUGUUUCAGUAGGUGAUCCUUGUUGACCAAUAUUAUAUAAUCUGUUUUGCCAUUUUAAUAAUUCUGUAUUGAUCUCACUGCCAAACUCCAAAAGUACAGCUUGUAUCAUUGUAACUUGAUCUCCUUUCUCUCCUCUCGCAUACUCAAUCAGACCCCUUUUUCUGUUUUCUUAACACAAUAGCUCCCUCUAUGUUUGAUGAACUCUUUUAUUACUUUCAGCUGUCUGACAGCAACAUUUCAUCAUCUUUGCAUUGCAUCUGUAGUAAUCAUUUGAGUUUGAGUCUAUAUCACAUCUCACAAUCCACUGAAAUUCUGCUGUAACACUGCUGUCAGUAAUCAGACAGGGAUUAGAUUUAUAGAUGCAAACAUGUUUAGUUGGUCAUGAUGAGUGCUAGACAUUUGGCUUGAAAUCUCAAAAAGUAACCAAUGAUUUACUCGGCAGAUCAGAAUUUGACGGAUAUCUUCCCCUGUUCUGAUUGACAUCUGCCGGGCUCAGCACAUAAUGAAAGGAGUCUUCAACAUGUAAACUCAAAUAGUGAUUCCUGCAGCUCCAAACAAUGUUUUAUUUAGUCAUCUGAGUUAGAAUCAGAGACAGAGAACCUUGGACGUUGGUGACUAAAUAGGAGCUAGGAAGUGCUUGACUAUUCAUGUGUCACUUCAGAAAAAAAAAACAAAAAAAACAAUGUGAGGACCCAAAAUGCAGAAUGAGAACAAUCUAUCCAUCUUUGAAGAACUUUCCACUGAGCAUUUUAUGGUCUAAAAGAGGUCUAAUAGACGUCUAAAUGUAGCCUAGACAACUGGUCUAAAAUCAGGCUACCAAGGGUCUAACAAUAAACGUUUUUUAGACGUCUAAAUUGAGACCAAGUUUAGACCAAGUCUAAAUCUGGCUUAUAUCUAUACUACACUGUAUAUUGCCCAACGGCUAUCAUGAUUAUUUUGGUUAAGUACUUGGAGAUCAGUUCUGCAACUCACAGUUGCUUUUUAAAGUAAAUAGUUAUAGAAUUAUGGGUUAAAGUGCAACGUCUAAAUUCCGUCUAAAAAUAUACAGAAUCUAGACGGUUGAAAUUAGGUCUAAAAAAAAAAUAGACGUCUAAUAGCCGUCUGUUGCUCACUGGGUAAAUUUUAUGCAAAUGUCUUAAGAUAAGGUCCACCCCAAAUCCAAGGAGACAAAAACACAAGAAGACACAAGAAGAAACAGUGAAGGUUAAAAAAAGAUCCAUAAUGAAAUACAAGAAGAUCAAGGUGAGGCAAGACCCAAGAUCUAAAGAAUCACGAAGGAUUAAACACAAAGAAGUGACACAGAAGGGAACAGAGAAACUGUUUCCCAACACCAAUGCCCAUAAAGCCAAAGCACUGACCUUUUACCAGCUUAAGUGGUAAAAGAAGUGCGUAAUAUGAGUAUAUGAAAGCACACAGUGUUAUAUAAAUGAAACACAGGACCUACUUUCAUGACAUGGAAACAAGAUACGCUACCAUUUACCAACCAAAAAAAUAUAAAGUAAGUAAUUUGGCAUUGUGAAGUCUACAUUGGAGAGUUCUAGCAGGACAACAUUAUAAACUUACUUAUCCAGAAUGCAAAAUCAAUUUUUUCAGCCACCAAUGUUUAAGACCUGUCAGUAGGUAUAGUGGCUCUUUAAGGGUUAAUUCUGUCAGUGGUCAAGUAGCUUUGGGGUAAUUUAUUACAGAACUUAUUUUGGUAAUUUCUACAAGUAUUCAAAUGUUGUAUGAACCCAACACCAAGAAACUUCACAGUAACAUCAAUGACAUUAUUCCUUAUUAGCACUGAAAACAUUUUCCUAUAACUGCUGCAUUACAUAUAAACAAGGCUAUAUCACAUUUAGAUUCCAUGUUUUCGCAUCAGAUCAUCAGAUUGCUUUGUUUGACUUUUUAUCAGUCAUUUUGAAUUAAGAUACAAGCCAUGUGGUGAUGACAGAGCUGCUUAAUUAAGAAAAUAAUGGCCUAUCACACAUGUCUUUGUAGUUAUUUUUUUCUUGGUAAUUGGUGCGGUGAUUAGGACACGAUAUAAGACACAACCAGCUUUACUUUCUUAGAUAUCAUGUGCCCUCAAAACACAUGUCCUUCCUGUUUGUUCCCUGACUAGUAAUGGGUGCAUGUGCUCCCUGCAGAUUAAAAGACAUCAAACAGAAAUGAAAGGCGCUACUAAAAGGAAAUUGAAGGCUUUGAAGAAAACAUAACAACGAAUCAUUUUUCCUAUCUGUUAAGAUACUGGACUGUUUUGUAUAUUAAUACUACAGAGGGUUAUUACAAGACAGUGAGGGAAGAUGUAAAAUUGAAUAUUUAUAACCAUGUUUUUGAACCAGGGAAAGUGAGUUCUAGGAUUAUUGCUGAAAUCAGUUUGUACUGUAGAAAAUCUAAAAUUUUCAACCAAAAUAAAAGGGUGUAUGCCUCACAAUCUAUUGUUAUCUGGGGCUUAGCUUGUUUGUUUUAAUACACAGUUUGCAUCCUUGUGAUCGUCCACUUUUUACAGUGGCUGUCAUAUUUUAAAAUGUAAAUUGAAUGAGUGUUCAGCCUGUUUAUCCCUAGAAAAUUGAAACUGUCUUAGUCUUGCCAUACAAAAGUUACAUUUUAAUCAAGGCAGUGAUUUGUACCAAAAUAACCUCACCUGACUUUUUUUCUUCAAUGCUUGUACUAAAGACGGAGGACACCUGGGAGCCACGGGCUCUUUUAAUAAGCAGGAUAUGUUUUCAGAACAAGCUCUGCUCAUGCAUAAAUCACAAGCAACACACACAAUUGCUUCAUAAAAUAUUGAAUUGGUUUUCACUGGAGUAUAUGACUUAGAUUUUAGCCCUGAAGAGAUGGACUGUGCCUAGAAACUGUCAUCUAUAUAGGUAAACAAGUAAUUAAAGCUAUAAACUGUAUUAAUGUAAUUAUGAUAGGAAACUGUGUGACUCCAAAACACAAAAUGACUUCCUUCCUUUCUUGCUCUAGAGUGUAUAUGAUUUAUUUAAAAUUCCAUGCACCUAUAAUAACAUAAGUUCUCAUGAUGAUCAUACGUGACGAGCAAACAUGUUUCCUCAUAAUCACACUGAUAAGGAACCUUUUAUAUUCUGUAUGUUUCUUAUCAGUGUAAUUAUGUGGAGACAUGUUUGCUCGUCACUGCAUACAUUUAAAUGAUCAAAUGUCUUAGGUAGACCUAUGGGCCGAUUCCAGGAAGUUCAUGAACAAUGCCCUAUUGAUGCACAAACAUGUUAGGGAGGAGGCUCUGCCAUCUGGAGUAAACAGGACAUGAACUGAAACGGUUUGAGCCAUUUCUGCUAGACAUGUUGUCAACAUGCCUGACCAUGCCUGCUAACUAUCACUUGGAAAAAUCCUUUAAGUAUUGUUGUAUACGUGUCGCAACCUCUCUCUUUGCAUGUUUCAGGUGGAUGAUUUAAGGUGGGUACUUGUUGUUGUACAUCCGUUUACACUUAUAGAAGAAAGAAGUGUAAUUGAAAUCAUUUUAGUGUAUUUAAGCACCACCUUUACGUUAUUAUGUGGGUCACAUUAUCAAAGGCAAAGAUCUGCUCACAGUACAUUACAUUCAUAUAGACUUUACUGGUUUCUAGUAUUUACAGCCUUUUUUGUUGAAGUCAUCCAGCCAACACUUCAAUGCCAACCUGUUGUUUUCGACAAAAACAAACCUUUUUAUAUUUCUUAAAAAAAAUGCUUCUUUUGAAAGUUAAAGAAACUGAAUUUUGAUGAUGCGUUGAUUCUCGUGAUCCCUCUGGAUAAAACCAGUAGUGUUGAUUGGAGAUGAAGAUUACAUUGCAUAAGCACAGUCUAAAAGAUGUGGCCCUUCCCAAAGCAUGCAGUUGUUGUGGAUGUAAAUAAAUGUUUUACAUAACUUCUUUUUUAUACUACUUUUCUUUGUUCAAGACAUUUUUUGGGGUAUACAGUGAAGAGAAAAUGUAUUGAUUUGUAUAGGUAAAUAGUUUCUCUGUAAUACAACAACACAACUGGUCAACUCUGAUUCACUUCCAUUGGGGUCUUUUGGGCCCAAUGGAAGACUAGAAUUGAUCUCACUCAGUACGUUUACAUGACACUCAAGAAAAUCGAAUUAUUGCCUUACUCUGAUUAAGACUGGACAACUGAAGUGCAUGUAAACACCUUAGUCAGACUAUAAGUGGAGUUUUAGAACUCUGAUUAAGACACCCAGAUAUUGCGUUUGGAAUUCCAUUUUCUCUACCAUGUAACCAGCGAAGUCAGAGUAUGAUUGGACAAUGCAUGUGCGCAAAAAAAAGAAAAGAGGAGUAGCGUGCACCUCACCUACAGAAAAAGUAGCGUGUACAUCAUGUAUGACAAAAACACUGCUGUACGAUGCUCCAUCUUCCUGCUCGAAAAUGCCCAGCAGCACCUGCUGUUGUUGUUGUUGGGUCAACCAGAUACAUAGACCCAUAUCGUCCCCUAGUCUUGGGGAGGAGGGCACGGUCAUGUCAAUUUUUCGAUUUCAUCGAUUUUCUCAGCUGCAUGUAUAUGCAGACAAGGAGAGAAGUCCGAUUCGUGGAAAAAAACAAAUUAUGAGCUUAGUCUGAUUAAGCUGUGCAUGUAAACUCACUGACUGUGAAGUGCAGCACCUUGCUUUACUCAACCUCUAUCUCUUUUUUAUGCACGUACUCUGUUAUGUCCAGUUUAAAAGCUGCAGUAAAAAUCAUUUUCCCUUUCUUUUUCUUCAGACAUGAUAAACCUGAGAAUGACUGACAGAGCAACAGUCACAUGUGGGAUUGGACAUACACUAAUGACUUCUUUUAGUUGUUCCUAUCAACACAAAAACAGACUGAAACACCUCACACGCUCCAAUUCAAAGGGCGACUGCUAUCACUCUUUGAAUUGGAGUCUGGUCUGUCUGGGCUUGAUUAAUUUGCAUUGGCCCUUCAUUUGGUUUAUGCAAACCCCAGUUCACCAAUCAGCAGGCCUGCUACACUUCCCCCAGAAUGCUGAUGUACAGCGUUGGGCACUGUGGAGAACAAAGGUGAGAAAAUCAUAACUGCACAGGUAAUCCUGCUGGUGUCAAACAGGCUCUGCUUUUCAUUUGUAAAGGAAACAAGCAGUCAGAAAAGACGGACAGAUUUUAUGCAGAGACAAGGUGAUAUGUUCUCCUCACAACAAGAUCUACAGGUAGUUCGCCGGGAGUGAAAAGAUGACACCAAAAUGCUGAAUAUGAUACAAAAGGUAAUAUGCAGAGGAGAAAGGUUAAAAAAGAAAAAAAAAAAAGAAAGGAGUGUAGACUUAAUUACAUCUAUUGCUGGGCUCAGAAAGAUCUAAUUCAUGUUUCUAACAUCAGCUACAUUAAUUAGAACCAAUAUCUGAGCUAUUGUGCCCUUCCCCAGUGUCAUUCAGCCUUCAUUACAGCCACUUUGAUACUGAAAUGAAACAGCCUUCAGCCGGAUUGUGGCCAUUAUACCACAGAGGCCUGCUGCUAUUCAGACAAAAUUACAUAGUCAAGUUCCUUUGGGUUUCGCUCGCUCUGUCUGGGUGGGUAAUUUGUUAUUUGGGAUGUAUAAGUGUCUCUGUGUGUGUGUGUGUUUAUUGGUGCAUUUGUGCAUGGGAAUGCGCAUAAAUGAGCUUGCAUGCUGAUGCGCGAUAGCCAAUUUGUUUAUGUUUUUUUGUAGAUUUGAUUAUGUGGUCAGUGCCAGCUAGCCCUGUUUGUCUGUUUGUGAUAGUAUGCGAGCGCGCUUGUUUAAAGGGACACAAUGCGAGGCAUAAAGAGACUUAAAAGACAGCCAUUUAAUGUAGACAGAAAGGACCCUCAGGCUGCAUCACAUUAAAAUACAUUAGUGAUGACAAAGACAAGAGAAACACACACAAGAAAACACACUGUGCAGUAGAGCUUACAAAUCCACCGGCACAUUUCUACUUAUUGACAAUUACAAGGAGAUAAACCCACACUAAUACACUUCUUUCUACACAUUACCACAUGCCUCAUUGAACUCAGUGUUUCAGACAGUUUAAGGCAAGAGCGGCUUACAGUGAUACUUAAGGUUUGUGGGGGAAAAAAGAAACCUUUAGUAGAAUAUCAUAGCAUAAACUGAUGUGUGUUUGUCGCUAAGAAUUGGUUCAAGAAGAGGUAACUUGUACAUUAAUGCACAUGUAAACUCCUUUAAAAGUGUGAAUAAUAAAAUGUGGUGUAAAUAACAUGCACAGUUUGAUGUUCGAGCUUUAAAUAUAAAGUUUCACAUACAAACAGCAUCACAGAUUGUUUAUAAAGCUGCCAAUUUCACCAUUUGCUUAUGUUUUCUCUUAUUUAGAAAAAGAGAGGGGAAAAAAAGAUUAAAAUAAAACAGCAUCUGGCUUCUUUAUGUGACACUGACUAUAAUGGGUCUGUUAAGUGAUUUCAAAUUCUGGAAAGUGAAACAAGACCACAGAUCAACAGCAAUUUAGGUUGAGCUUCUGUUUUGUAGUUUUUUCAUCGUAAUAGAGAGAAAUGUGUGCAGUGCAGUGAGACUAAUAGGUCGUUCUUUUGAAUCGGAGUCAUAACAGUCUGGUUUAGUGCAACUGCUGCAUGUGAAUUAUUUAUGGGUGAUGGGAUUCUGCAAUGUUCGAAAAUGUUGCAGAAGAAAAGUCUCUUUUAUUUGACAGAGGUGUUUGAGGUUAAUUUGAAUCUUUAAUGUGUAAGUAUAAAACUGUACAUUUCUCAUCUGAUGAGACGUAGUAGGUGUGGUGCCAAAGCUCAGUUUAUUGUGGAUACUCUUAAACCCAUGCAUACACCUCUGUUCCCCCUACCGUUAGAUUCUGCUCCAAUCAGUGUCAAUGAUGAUCCACUACUCUUCCCAUUCUCUCUCUCUGCCUCCACAUAAUUAUCUUAAAUAUUUGUGUUUUAUUAUAUUUUGAAUGUAGUGAUCCACUUUACAAAAAGAAAAACAAAUACACUUACUAAAUAAUAAAAUGAUUAAAAUGAAGCUUUUCACUCAGCUGUAACAUCUUUUUCGGACUGAAACAAAAAGCUAAAUCGGAGGCAGAACUUUUGUAAAUGUAGCUAUCUUGUUUCCGCCUCCGAUUUAGCUUUUUUCUGACUUGGUAACUGAAAUGCUGGUAACUCGGGUGUGACGUCAUUCCCAGCUCUGACUUCUGACUUCCAAGGUAACUCGAACGUAGCAUAAAGUACACGCUGUUAUUGUAAUUACGUAGACUCAGCAUGGUAGAUAGAGGUGUCAGAGCAGAGUGCUUGUAUCAGCGUACUAUUAUUGGAGAUUUUAAAUGUAGGCUGGUAUAAUUCGUUUUUUUGCUGAUAUCGGACCGAUAUCAAUACCACACUGAUAUCAAUAUCGUAUCAGGACAUCCCUAGAAUAAAGCGUCCAAGUAUAAAGGCUCAAGGUCCUUUAUUAGUAUCCAAAGGGAAAACUUGCUUUGCAGACAGGUCCAAAAACAACAGCAAAAGGGCAAAACAGCGACAAUGAUUCACAACUCAGGACACGGUUCACAAAAUCACAUUAAAAGCUGACAAUAAAAUGACAAAACAAACAUUGAAGAUUAAAACCAAUUCAUGAUAAAGUGCUCUAAAUCACAACCAUUCUGAAAUAAAACUCCAAAAUUGCUAAAGUGACUUUGAGUCUACUUAAAGUAAUACAUUAGACGAUAAAGUGCAUCGUCUUGUGUUUGUGUAGCCGCAGGUACAAAUGUAUUUCUGUAGCGUUUUGUUCUCAUUUUAGGAGCAACAAAGUGAUACCAAGAGUGAAGCAGUUGGAACUCUGAGUUUAAAGGUUGAGAACAGUCAUGGAAAACAUUUUUUAUGUUGUUGCUCACUUAUGAGCUUGCCAAUUUGGUUAAGAGCAAUCUUGUUUUUAAAAGACAAAUUACCAAACCAAGAGACAAGGGAAAGGACAAGACAGAUUCAAUUAAAACUCAAUAGAGUAAAAUCAUCAUAGUUAGCAAAUGGCAAAUUUCCUCGUACUAGUACCAAUGCUACUCAGCAAACACAGUAUGAGUACACAGACAGUGCACAGAUCUUCUGAUUCUGCUGUAAGAUUAGUUGGAUAAAUCUGUUCAAAACAGGAAUAUCUUCAGCGUUUCUGCAUUUUGUCUCAGGCUGUGCUGAUCUCUCACUGGAUCAGAUCUGCUGACCUCCUUCUGCAAAAUACCUGCUAACGUGUGCACUAGAGCAACCCCCUUUAUUUCUGAAAGUGUUCCAAGUUAAAAAAAAAAAUUAUAAUAAAAUAAAAACGUACAUUUGGGAAAUACCUUAUUUGUGUGCCUACCAAAAAUAUGAACAUAAUUCAAUGUCUAUUGCCUUUGACCACAAACCAUAAAGACGUACGCUGCAGUAAAAUAGAAUUACUUAGCUACCUGACACACAAAUACAGGGACACACUCAUCCAAUCCACUUGUCCAACCUUUUCUCCUGUCAGCAUGUCACACCACUCACUAACCAAUAUUCAUGCUCUCAGCUGAAAAGAGCGCCUUGGUUCAAAUUUACAGCCCCAUGAGUCUUAAGCUUGUAUGUUUAUUGCCUGAAAUGGCAGGAUGAAAUCAAAUUCAUUACAAGGCCCUACAUCAUUCUGAGCUGCCUGCCAAGGGCUUUAUGUUCAUGCUGCGGUUAGCUCAGCUUCCCACCGUGGAAAUACCGAACAGGAGUCAAAUGCUGUGUGUGUGUGUGUGUGUGGCAGUAUGCGUGUGUGUCUUUGCUUAGCAUGUUAAUUUUGAGGCCUCCGUGUAAUACAAGUGUCAGGCGAGGGCUGUUAGCAGCACUUGGUAUAUAUUUUCAGCCUGGGACUUGGAGAAAUUUAGUCUCUCUCUCUGAGGUACCCGAGCUCAUUAAAACAUAUUGCUUUUCUUGUCUGUUUCCGAUUUUGGAUCUAGACCUGGAGCUGCAGCAGCGGCAGCGGCAGCAGCAGCCAGGCCCUGCUCACAUACUAGCUGAAUGUGAAGCACAUUAUGAGUUAUGAGAUGCAGUACAGUUUGGGAUUAAAUUUGCUGUGUUAUCUUUUUUAACACGAAGCAGGCUUGGUCUCGCCUGUGAUGAGGAGCUCUCGCUACAAGAUGGCCAGAGAGAAAAAUCUGUGUAUACGGCGCUCUCACUUUCUCUUCUUCCAUGCCUCCCCGGUCUGAGUCCAUAUCACCCUUCAUUCAAUACGUUCACCUCCCUCUCUUAAACCUUUCCUCCUCUUCCCUUCUACUUUAUGUGUUAUAUCUCCCUCCCUGCUGCUGCGGUAUUCUAGAUUUUCACUCUGAACUGUGUAGAAUGGGAUUACUGCUCAACACUUAACUGAAAAACUCCUGCUUCUACCCUGCUCCAUCUCUCCGAGCUGCUGUUACAAUCCUCCACACCUUUCCAUCUUACUACUCUCUCACGAUAUACCUUUCUUAUGCUUUUUGCUCUUUCCUUUUUCUGUCAGCUCCCCCCCCUCAACACACACACACACAUACUGCAAUAAGAGUGACAAGAUAAGAGAUUGCAUUUCUCCGCUCAGCAGUCCAAGCUUGAAGAGGGUGUCAUGUUAAAGGAGGGGAGUACCUGACAUGGCACAUCAAACCUUUGUAACAUUUCAAUGGGCUUCCUAUUUCUCUCCAGCACAUCUUGUCAGACAUCAACCCAUUAUUGACAGAUUGUGGAUUAGAAAAGGGGGGUGGAAGGGGGGAAGAGCUUUCAACAGAUUGCUGCUAUCUGUGUCUGCUGGUAUCUACAGUACAGAGAGAGCUGUGGGACAAAUGCUUGAGGAAGCAACAGGAUUUUCUCUGCUUGGAUUACCGUGUAUAAGCAACGUCAGGUUGUUGUACAUUGCAGAAUUGGCAAAAGGUACGUGUAGAGAGGCGGGGCUUAAAGGGUUGUGUAAGAACACCUGCAACAAGAGAAAAGAAACUUUCAGCUGCAUUGAAAAGUUUAUUGUUUAACUUGAAGGUUAUGAGAAGAAACCCCCCCUUUAUAGAAAUGUUGUUCUGAGUAGCUUUCUUACUUUCCUACGUCUCUGUGUUAGUGCAUACACUUCUCUCUUUCACACGACUGUCUGCAAAUCUUAGUUGAAGCUCAUUUCUCAAUUUUGCUCCUUUCCUUACCCCUCUUUUUGAGCGCCACUUUGACCCUUAAAAAAGGAAAGGAAGGAAGGAGAGACAAACCUUCAAGACCAUACACCAUCAGAAGUCAUCAGUGGCUGUAGUGGCAGAUUUUUCUCUAACAGUUUUCAAAAGCCACUUUGAUGAGACGAGCCCCACAGAUGUCCUGACACGUGUCCAUCUUCAUUCAUGAAAUGACUCCAAUACUCACAGGUCUGUAGUUUUGCGUUUAUUUGGCUGAUUGUGGGUUCCAUAGAGCUCACAACUCAAAAACUGUAGAAAAGAACAAAAAGCUCCUGUUUCACAGUCAAAAAACAUGCUGCUCAUCUCAACCUGAAACGAACAAAAGAUUGAGACUCCACCCAUAACCAAACAUUGUCUAGACAUGUGUAUCUGAAUCUAUUAAUCAACCCAAACAACCCAUCUAAUUACUUUUAAAUCAUAUUUUUUUGGUCUUUACAAUUAAUAAUAUUAACUGAGACUUUUGUUUGCUUAAAAAAAGAUUUUGACAUAAACUAAAAACAGCUUCUACAAGGGCAAAAUGUUAUUAGAUGCAACAACCUUGUUGCCAUGUAAUUUUAAAAUGCUAUCUUGAACCUUUGCUGUUCCUGUUGUGUGGCUCAAUGGCACCUUUUUGCCGUUAUCAGCAGAAAAUGUACAGGUAAAGGAUGUCUUUUGGGCUUUGGUGUGCUGGUGUAUCAGCUCGUGUCUUAUAAGAUAAACUAUAAAUAAGUUUUGUUGUACUUAACAUUAUUUAACAACAUGCUCAAAAGCCAGCAGACAUAUGUGAGUGGACUAAUGUGGAUUUAACCCAGUGAUGUAUGUUUAUUAAGUUUCUCAUCAUGGAAUCUCUAAGAGUGUAAUCAACUUGUAAGUAUGAAAUAUUGUCGUACUUUCAUUUCUCAAGUAAGAUGUACUGUUUAAUAACUUUGAGUAGCACAUUAGCAAUGAAAGGCUGAGUGGACGGGUUUGAGUAUUAAUUGGAGAAUAAUUAGCAGAGGAAUCAAACUUUGAACAGGUUGUGGAGGACUCUGUUGAGAACAAUUCUCUGGGCACGUGUAACUCUUCCAACCGAGACAACAGUCAACAAUCACAGCAGGCCACCACCCUGUGUUUGCUCAGAUGUUGUUUGUGAAAAUUUAUUGCUGAACUGUGUUGGUCUUAGGCUGCAGCUGCAGCUGCUGAGGAGUUUACUUUGUGUACACAACUUUGUGUUGUCUGCUUUGGUGUUGUUUUAUUUGGCUGUUGAUUACAUAAUAAGUGCGUAGCUUUUUAAUUUAUGAAGUUUAAUAAUACCUGUUACAACCUAUGUGGCGUCCAAAGACUCUUUUGUUAGUUGUUGGCCAUUUUUGUUUAAUUAUCUGAGAUGAAUCUCUUCUCUGGCGAGGACUAGAGAGGAUUCAUUUUGGAAUCUGGUUUUGUUUUUAUGAUUUAUCAUCAGUUGCAUAACCCUCUGCGCACCUGCAAUGCACCCCGGCCAACUCUCUCUGUGCUGCACAACCUUUCCACUGAGCGAAAUACAGGCAGUAAUACUGUUUCCCCGCAAAACUUAUUUGGCAAAUAAUUAAGUAGUAAAUAAAUAUAUAAUUUUUUUGUGGAGUUGCAUUUUCACAGUGGGCUUCCUUUAAUUAUGCAUCUUGUUUGUCCUGUAUCACAGUGUGCAACUUAAAGUAAAUCUUUUUUUUCCCCUGAUGCUUUCUGAUUAAAACAAGAUCUCAUAUAUUUUAUCAUACAGAUUUGAAAACAGAGACAAGUCUGAAACAACAAAAAAAUCACUAUCAAGACAUAUAUUUGUUUACUAGAGAGACGCGUCUCGGCCACAAGAAACCCACGCUCUUCUUCAACAGUUUGGGAUAUGCUGCACUAAGUUUUAAGUUUAUCACACAACAGAUUUAGACAAUUCUACAAAAUUCUGAUAAUAUGCGACACUACUUUGACUUGCAAGGUUUUGGUUUCAUUCACCCACUUCUUUUUUCUCCAGGAGUAAGUGUUAUUCAAACGUGCUGAGACAGCCUGUGUGUAUUAUCAUCAUAUUUGCCUCCUCUGCAAUUUAAAGCCUGAACUCUGCUGUGAGUUGACACUCCCAUUUCUCCCUUGCAGUAUCAUACUCUUGUAAGAUUUUGACACCUGACAUUAUGAAAUACUUAUGUUGUGUGCCUACAUGAUAUCUGUUCUUGUUCUCCCUCGCAUCAGAAUCAGUUUCCUUUACUUGAGUCAUUUCUUUUUAUUUGCCAAUUCUCUUCAUUUACAAGUUUCUUCCACUACUUCUUAAAUCAGUCUUAAUGUUUUUUUCUUCAGUGCCUUCCAGAUUUUAUAUCUCCUCCUUUUCUACUUUCUAUCCAUCUCCCAUCUCUACUUUCCCUCCCUCCUCUUCUUACCCCAGUCUAGCACUUUACCAAGCGUCCAGUCUGUCAUCUGCACUGUGACUGAUGCUGAGCUAGAGCCAUCCCUCUCCACAGUGUCACCACUCUGCCUUCAAAAUUCGAUCAUUUAGUGAAACUGCAGUCAUGCACCAUCUCUCAUCUCCGCCAUUCUGGCUCUGACAGAGAGGCACCAUUGGCAUGGCCCUGCCGACACCCUGCAUAGAUAUUAACCAGUUUGGACACUUGAAGCAUUUUGGCUCUGAUGUGUUUUGAUAGGUUUCACUGGUCUCUUGGGAAAGGUUGCAGUCACAAGCCUAUUCCAGGGAGAGGUGGGGGGAGAGGUGCCUGCUAAGUCAAACAAGCUGAACUGAACGAGGCUCUGGCACCUCUGACUGGAUUUUUUUUUUUUCAAUGGCAUAAUAUUUACAAUUUACAAUAGAUUUACAUAAGACAGGACAGGCUGCAUGAUGAUGAUUCUUCCGCAUGAGCAUUGGCACCAUAUCACUAGAGUACAUUAAAGACACCCCCCCCCCCAUGAAAACGAUGUUUAUAUGGCAAACUCCACCCCUGGAGUCUCGCUAUGCAGACCAGUCUCUGAGAAAUAGAGGACGAUCGCGGAACAAGUGUUGGCGAAUUGCAGUGUUUGAAAGUGUCGCUACCUGAUCCUUCCUGGAAACCCGAUUUGUACUGCACAUGUGUGAAAUGUAUGUCACUUCCUCUACUAGUCAUCUUUGCGAUAGCGCAGCAUUUCUUUACCCCUCGCAUUUUGCGACAGCUUCAGCUUCAGCAUCAGCGAGCUCACUACAGUUAGAAAGGAUGCUUUAGUUUAUCAAUGCUUCAGUGUAUGAACAGCCACAUGCUUUUCUUUUCUCCUGAACGGAGUGCUUCCCCCGACUGAAGCAGAGUGCCAGCAAGUCAAGAGAAUGGCGCCCAGUUUUAAGAUUAAAGGUUCCUACUAGUGAUGCACGAUAUGAAAAAUUUCAACCGAUACCGAUAACCGAUAAUUUUCUUCUUCUCAUGGCCGAUACAGAUACCGAUAACCGAUAAAUUCAUAUUUUUACAUUUACUAUAAUCUUCAUAUAAUCUGCAGUUUGUGCAGGAUGCAGCGAUUGAAAACUGAUGUUUUUUUUGCUCUGGCCUAUCUAGAACAACAAACAAAAGUUUUUGGCUCUUCAAAUGUGGUCAUUUGCUAUAAAUAACAAUAACAGAGCAAAAAGCAGAACUUCAUUUGAUCCCCUGAACUGUUGAACAGAACUGUAAACUGUAAAGGAGCUAUUAUGAGACGUUAGGCUUAGCAUGCUGACCGGACUAACAUCUGACAUCCAUAUGUCUGUGGUAAAACUCACGUGUAGUCCGUUCUUGUCGAUCAGGUUGUGAAUGUAUGUGGCGACAAUAUCAUAGAGUGCAGGAAGAGACACAUCCGAGAAGAAGCGGCGGCUUGGGAGAGUGUAACGUGGCUCCAAGUGUGCUAUGAACUUGCGAAAACCCGGGUUCUCAACGACGGAAAAAGGCUGGUUGUCGACCGCUAUGAACUCCAUCACUUUGUUGUUAAUGGCUUUAGCCUUUUUGCUGUCUCUUGAGAAGCUUUUGCAGUUUUCAAACGCCUGCUGAAUGGGGACAUCGAUCCUCCGUAGUGUUGUUGUCUUAGCUUUAGUACCGCUAGCAGCUUCGGCAGCUGUCUCAUAUUCUUUUACUACCGCUUCGCCGCGAUGGCGACUUUUCAGAUGAGCUAUCAGAUUCGCUGUGUUAAUACUUGACGUCUUCUUUCCUCCUCUCGGAAUCCUCGCUGAACAGGUUUUGCAUAUAGCAAUGCUGUUGUCAUCUUCUGCCACUGAGAGAAACGACCAUGCUGGUGAAGACAUUUUAUUAUCUGUCAGGUAGUGACGGGGUCAGGCUUGGGACCUGCGAGUAAGGCGCGAUAGAUGACGUAACCAGCGCGUCUCGGACGGGCGGCUACUCCGCCUGCAAACGUUACUCGUAAUUUCAUUAAUAUAUCGGAUCUUUUUAUCGGAAAAAUGCACCUAUCGGACCGAUAAAAAAUGACGUAAUUUCCCCCCAAAUCGGCCGAUAUUAUAUCGGUCCGAUAAAUAUCGUGCAUCCCUAGUUCCUACUCCAGCUAAAUUGUAAAAUUGCAAUUAUAUAUUUCAGUGUUGAAAAUUGUACGCUGUAUAAAAACGCUAAAAUUCAUUGUUCAUAAUGUGUAGGCUGUUAAUAAAUGUAAUUAAUAAAAAAAAUGAUAUAAAUCCCCCCUUGAUACUUUGAAAAGUCAGAGAACCAUCAUUUUGGCCGGGUGGCGCUGAUCUCUGUGAUCCAAAAGGUCUAAUUCUGCUGGGCAGGAGCUCUGGCGAAUGCCUCGGCAUUAGCUCUGGAGCCUCCUGCUAGCGAGCCCGUCACAUUGCCAGCUUGUUCCUGAAUCGAUCGGUAAUUUAAAUAAAGUUUUUAAGGUGAAGUAAAUUUGCACCUGCGCAGUACGGAUCGGAUAGGUAGCGACUCACUGCCGUAAAAUACAUUGAAAUGCCAAGGGAGGAAGUGACGUAUGUUUUGCACACGCGCAACACAAAUUGGGUUUUGGAUCGGGCAGCGACAGUAAGAAAGCUAAUUGUGAUAUUAGCUUACAUCAUGCCCCUAAAAACAUUAGUGUCUGAGAGCUCAAUAGCUCCUGUUUUACCUGCUACUUCUACUACACCAGCAAUGUUGGGCUGCAAGCUAACGUAAAGAGGAGUGUGCAGAGCAGCGCUGUCUCCGCCCACAACUCAGAGGCGAUUUGCUAAUGAUCUACUGGAUUGCUGCAGAUGAAAAGACCUUAAGAAUGACACAGAUAACGUGAUUUUGGCUAAAAACUUCAUCAUCACUAUUUAAAAACCACUGAUAACACUUUAAGUGGUAAAAAAAAAAGAAAAAGAUCGGAGUGGGACUUUCAUUUCAUAUGAAUGACUUGCCUUAUAAGCAUGCAAAGAAAGUGUCAAAAAGCCUGUGAAACAUAACAUUUAUUGAAGUUGUUGUGAAGUUGAUCGACUGUUUUUCAAAAUGAUCAUUCAUGUUAUUUUUCAGUUUAUUUUUUAUCUAUUCCAUCAAGUAAGCAUGGAAUCACUUUGUGCCAUGUGCUUUCCAGUGAUUUUUGCUGAGCUGACUUGCCCGUUACCUUUCUCUUCUAGUUAUGUCUACUUUUAUUUUCCUUCACACACAGUGGUUUUCAGAAUUUUUUUUUUCAAUCCAUCUGUCCACCAGCAUUUUCUUUACACAACUUUUACCCUCGGCUUCAUUUUUCCGUCUGAGGCAAAAUGCCAGGCUUGCACUAGCACUUUCAGAGCAAAGUUUUUAUUUUAAUGCCAGGAUACAUUAGCUCUCACAUCUCUGGGCUCUGUGAUAGGAUCUGGCUCACUGAGAGAUCCACUGAGAUAUCUCACUCCAGACAUCUUGCAUCUGAAUCUUUGUCUGCCUGGAGUCUCUUGUCUCUCUCCUCUCUCUUUCUUUCUUUUCUCUGAAUGGUUUCCUUGACUUUUCCCUCUGAGCAGCGAGUGAAGGUCAAGAGACCUUUCACAUCAUGAUAACACUAUUCAAAAAGCUCAGGAAUGAUCUGAGUCAUGUCUCUGUCACUGUUUGGAAGAUAUUCUCUUUAUUUACCUUAUUGUAUUUGUGGGAUAUCUUUGUCAUCUGAUGCACAGUAUGAGACUGGAAUGGGUUUUAUGCCAUUAAGAACAAACAUCACAAAGCUCCUGGAGGCCACUUUCCAGCAAGCUCCAUCCUUUAUCAACCGGCACAUCAGAAAAAGCACACGCUAAGGUGAUUUGUAUGGAUCAAAACAAAUUGUGAUAUGCUCUUAGAAAAAUCUGCUUUGUGUUUUUGUGUGGUGAUGUGGUUAUCCAGCUCUACAUGCAGGCUCAUUGUCUGAAUUGUAUCUCCAUUAUAACAUUCACAGGGGACAGUUUGGUUACACUUUGGGCAGUAUGUCCCUCACUGUCUUUCACUUUCAUCGACAGCUUUCAUUCCUUCUCCUUCCCCACUAAGGUCAAACAUACACAAUGCAUAUUGAAGCCAAGUCUGAAACACACAAGUGGUGAUUUUACAGCUGAUUCUGAAGACUGGCCUAAUUUCAGAUCUGUUGCUCAUUGUUGACCUUACAGUGUUGGAAAAAAGUUUGGCAUAUUUUCUUCAGUGUUUCGUGUAACGUGAAUGAUCCUCCAACAAACAUGGCUGAACUGACUCAGGCUGUGACCCAAUGCUGGCGAGAAAUCCCGGUUGAAACUCUUACCAACCUAGUGACCAGCAUGCCCAGACGUGUACGCACAUUGUACCAUGCUAGAGGCGGUCACACAAAGUACUGACUGUAUUGUUGUUAUCGUCUUGUUAUGUUUGAUGUUGCUUUCAAAGAUGGUCCACGUAUUUUGUGGCAAUUUAAAAUUACAGCCGUUUAUUUAUUAAAUACCGACUCAUGAUUUUAUGCGUUAUUUCUAUGGCUUUUUGUGAAUCAUGAGGUGACCGCCCUACAAUUUUUUGAGAAACAAAAUAGUUUGAUGUGAAUUUCAAAAACAUAUCACAGAGACCAGGGAACAUUAAAAAGUCUUUGAAUAAUUCUCCAGAAAGCAGCAGACCGCGUUAAACAUGAGGCUGGGGUUGAAUUGACAAAUAUUCCAAACUUUUUUCCAACACUGUAUGAGGGACAUGGGGGCCAAUAACAGUCUGAUCAGCUCCUCCCAACCAGUAAGGUGAAUUUCUGGCGUGUCCUUCUGUGGGAGUUUUUCGUGGGAGAACAAAACGUUGCCAACAAUUGUCAGAUGACUCAAGUCAACCUUGGCAAUUGGACUGCACAGCGUGAGCACUUAAGUCCCAAGCUUUGAUUGAGUCUUGCAAGAGGUUAAUGUACAGUGUGAGUUUACAUUUUACCUUAUCAUUUAUAAAAUUAUAAGAUGUAUGCCAAGUCUUAGAUCAUUUUUAAAGGGGAAUAUGAAACACAUGAAAGAUGGCUCAGUGACUAAAACCUAACUUAAGGGCAGAUAUGUUUUAACAGUUACACUAACAAGGAAGAAAUGAGAUCUGAGCUUUGGAACAACACGUAGCAUGACAGAGACAGAGGAGCUUGUAGUCGCAAUGCAUUGGAAAAAUUAUUAUUUUGCAUUGGAAAAAUUAUUAUUUUCAACAGACCCAGUGUUACUUCUAUGAUGUAGUGUCAAUUAUGGUGUCAGUGUAAUAAUACACAAUUUUUCUGAACCUAGGUAUGAACUGCAAACAACAAUGCUCUAGGCUACAACCUAACAUGUUUGGAUCACUACCUCAUUUGUGGGUGUAUGUUAUAAAAGUCAAGGUGUUAGAGCUUCACCCUUUAUUUUAUCCUAUUCACAGACAGCUGUCAUUAUCAUAUUCAGAUCUUUAACUGCAUCUUCCUCAAAUCUCUUCUUUUUUUUACCCACUCAUGCAGGCCAUAUUGCUGUACAUUGUAACCCACUGAAAUGAGUCCAUAAUAUCAAAAUGAUUAGUAGCUGUAGACCUGAUUUCAGAUAUAAAAUUUUAUAACCACUCAACUCUGAGUGAAAUUAAGUGAAAUAAUAUUUUAUCUUCCUGAAAAUACCCAGGCCAGCUUUUGUCUUUCUGAAGUGUAAGUGCAGGACUGGGAUGUUGGAAAUCACUGCUGAGCCUUCUGGAGGUGUCAUGGGUUUAAUUCAAUGAAACAUCUGUGAAGGGAGGUGCCAACUUGAUAACCCCAGCAUGCAAAAGCUCGAGUGUUCGACUCACACACUCAACACUGUACCAUUCAGAUAAGGUGUCUGCUGAAUAGUGCUUCCUUUCUGGUGGUCCUGAGAAUAUAGUAUUGUGUUGAGUCUGGGCCUCGUUACUAGAUUUUAGAAUCAGGUCUACAGUCUGUCGACUAACAUAAAAAAAAAAAUCAUGUGACACUAUUAGAACUUUUUGUUCAUGGGCAUAUUUGAAGGGCAAAGAGAGAAUACAUUUUUGUUAAUAAGCAGGUUUUUUUAAUUUUUUAUCUUUACCAAAAAAAAAAAAAAAAUUUUCUAAUGCAUUUUUUAAAAUUUUAUGGGGGUAUAGGGUAUGAAAAGGAUGAUGGAUCAAAAAGGAACGUUGAAACAGAGAUUGGGGAAGUAGCUGAGGGCCAUGGGAUGAGAUUGAACCCAAGCAGCCUCCUUUAAGGACCAUAUCCUUAACGUAGGAUUUGGGUCCAUACCAUCCUAUACCAGUGCAACCAUCAAACUGGAUGGAUGGAUGGAUGAAUGGAUAAGGAGAUGGAUGGAUGGAUGGAUGGAUGGAUGGAUGGGUAAGGAGAUGGAUGGAUGGAUGGAUGGAUGGAUAUGUGGGUGAGUAGAUGAAUGGAUGGAUGGAUGGGUGAGUAGAUGGAUUGAUGAAUGGAUGGAUAGUUGGAUGGAUAGUUGGAUGGAUGGGUAAGUGGAUGGAUGGAUGGAUUGGUGAGUAGAUGAAGGUGUCUGCUGAAUAGUGCUUCCUUUCUGGUGGUCCUGAGAAUAUAGUAUUGUGUUGAGUCUGGGCCUCGUUACUAGAUUUUAGAAUCAGGUCUACAGUCUAUCAAAGCCCAAGAAAGAAACUUAUUUGACAGAAGAAAAAAAAAACAUUUAUUUCUAGCAAAACAGGUUGAUAUACUUUUGGGAUUUCAGAUUAUUGCAAAUGUGUAUUAAGUGAUACACUAAGAAUUACCAGAUCUCAUGUCUCAAGCAGUACAGGGUAUUUCCUGUAAUGGUACCAUUAUUUCAUAAACCUAGAAGUCAUCCAAUAUUCAUUUAUUAGGUUAUCAGCUGUAGAAACUGCCCAAAAAUUCACAUUUUAAAUUUUUUUUCUUAUCUAUCCUAUACCAGUGCAACAAUCAAACUGGAUGGAUGGAUGCAUGGAUGCAUGGAUGGAUGGGUGGGGAAGGAUGGAUGGAUGGAUGGAUGGAUGGAUGGAUGGAUGUGAAGUGUAAAUCAGGCUGAACACUGGGAGUGUGGGUACAACAGCACCAACAACGGUGCAUCUUUAUGAACCAAGGGAUAUGUACCAUUUUGCUUAACAGUGCAGACCAAUGACAAGGUAUAAAAAGUCAACAUUUUAUGCCAUUUUUCCCCCAAGAAGUAUGCUUUCAUAAGCACAAUUUUCUUCUCAUUUCUGCAUUUUGCUCCACAACUCAUCUGUUGCAGACAGAUAAGACCAACUUAGUGCAUAUAGAGCACAUAUUCAUGAAGAAAUUACCUUAAAAAUCAGUUUGAAUAAACAUAAAUUCAGACUCACCUCCCCCUCCCUGCUCUCCUCUCCUCUCUUCUUCACUUAUUUUUUCCCUAUUUCCUGCAAAGGCUUCUUUUCUUUAUUAUUUUUACUCCUCUUCAUGUCCUACCCCACUCUGUGGUGGCAAAAUGACUCACUGAGGGAAUGCCUACAAGCACAAAGAGAAUCACAGACAGAUUAGAAGCAAGACUGUGGCAUGAACCAGGUGUCAAGGGUGACUUGUGAUGGCCAGGUUCAAAAAUAGCCUAAAACCCAGUGCAUGCAGUGUAUGGGGUGAUGGCACACCCACUCACACACACACUCAUGUCUUGUGGAAAGAUAGGAAGCCUUUGAUAGCGAACACAGGAGUGCCUCAGCAUCCAGCUGGCUGUAACAGAUGGCUUUACACAUGACGUCUUGCUGUGUGUGCGUUGCAGUUUUCCUCUCUGCUGGUCUUUUUUCACUCCUCGCAUUAAUGUGUGUUCGCUGCGGGCCUGUCACAUUCAACAUGACUCAUGCUGAGAUAUGGAGGGGAGGGGCCAAUAAAAGUGACAUGGCCUGAGUUUAAUCAGAUCUGUGACUGGGUUCAAAAGUGUAGGGGUUAAAGGCCAAAAGAUGACGCCUAAGGGGUCAGAGGGUGACAGGUUGUGUUGUGUUAUUACAUCCUAUCACAGCGAACAUGUGUGCAGCAAUUAGAAAGCGGCAAUAAAUUCAAUGUUUUCCAGAGAGACUGAAACCAUUAGAGGGAGUAUUUGGUGUUGAGCACAGUGUUAAGAACAUCAAUCUUAUUUCUGGUAAGUUUUUACUCAUGACAUUGUUCAUUUGCAUGUGUGUCACUCUGUUUGUGUGUGUAUGUGUGUGUGUGUAAAGCCGAACGUGUUACUAAAUAGACAAAUCAGGGGAGACUCAGGUCUCUCUGUUGUCGUAAAUCAGACUGAAAGUGCUUAGUCAUUCACAAACACACACACACACACAUACACACACAGUCAUCAGCUGCUCAGUGAAUCAGAUGGCAACAAGCUGUUCGUGGACCCACAUCCACAAUGAUUGGCUGUAACAUUGCUACUUGAAACCAUAUUGCGCACGUGUAGGUGCUCGUGAAUGCUUGUGUGUGAUCAGACAUGUGUAAGAGGUGUUCGGUGUCAGGAAAAAUGUAGCAGGAAAGUAAAACAAAAAUGUAAUAAGAAGCACAACAUCUGUUGUACACAUCUUGUGUCAUCACUCAUCCAUCUUUGUCAGUCUCUUCCUCACUUCACUUGGGCAGAAUCACGCACGGAGAAAUUAGACCAGCAACAAAAGCGCUCUUUUCAAGGUCCCCGUAAUAUCACGGUUUUCACUUUUUGAAUAUAAAUUCAAAUUGAAGGUUGAACAAACUUUUAAAUGACGCAUACAUUGGUCCUUAAAAAGCUUUUUAUGGAAGUGCAAAUUUGUAAGCACACACAUAUGUACACACACAUGCAUGCAUUGUGCACAUAUAUAAACAUACUGUAUAUUCAGAUACAAACAAAACACAAAUAUGAAAGUUUGAGCUCUGCUUUAUAUGGAUCUAAAAUUCUAAAUGAACUCAAUAAUGAAGCUUGAUAGAAAAUAUGUAAAUUCAGAGGAUGAUGUAAGAUACAAAGGGGCUAUGAUGGCACAAAUACAUAGAAAAUUGUACUUCUAAAAUGGCUUAAAGGUGGGGUAGGUAGGAAUCUGGUGAGGAAGCAACUUUUUUGUGGUGUAUCAACAAAAAGCCUUUAAUAUCAGUCAAUAGCUAUAAGUUAUUGAUAACAUUUGGUAAUAUAACGAUAUCGCUGUGUCUUGUUAUGUCAACAUUUUAAAUUUUUUGUUUGGCCCGCUCUUUCUGACUGUAAACAAAGUCAUUCUCCGCCUCCACAACCUCAUUGGUUGUGAGGCAGACGCUGCUCCCCUGUGUUGUGAGGCACACUCAUGUCCUUGAAUAACGUGCAAACGUCCCAAACAAAGUUAGCGUGCCACAACAUCGGACAGAAGAAACCAACCUUAAAGUACAGAAAACACAAGCAAUAAAAAAGUAAAUACCAGAGACUCUGGCGGAUUAACAGCUCUUGUCCGGUCUACAUCCUUUUUAAGCGCCUAAGAAGCCGGGUCAACAUCAGCAUAAACGAUGGGGGACACUUCAGGAUCUUACAGACCCUGUAACCUUUCUGCUGGACAGGUAAACCGCUUUUACAAAGUGAGCCAAGUGUCUGUAACAGAAGUGUUUCUUGUCAAACAGGACCUGCUGUGUGUUGUAGCGCCGUGAAACUGUUUACCUCGGGCCCUGGAGUAUGUCACUUUCACAACUUUGUGUUUGCUGGUAGUCUGUUGGCAUCUACAGUAGCACCAAUGCUUUUUACUUUCACGUUGACUGGGCCCCAUUUGUAAUUAUCUGAAGUAUUUAUCUGCAUUAUAUCUGAAUUUAAUUGAAAAGAUAAGAGCGUGUCAGACGAUGAGAAAACAACCCAGUAUAUGACUUUCUGUGAUGUAGCUUUAAAUGGAAAUCGAAGAUCAAAAUACAUGCGUGGAAAUCUUGUGUUUCAAGUUUCAUUCCCUUUUUUGUUGUAACCCUGAAGUUGUGACUUGGAACAAAACUUUGGCUCUUGUUAGCAUAGAUAUGUAUCUAUAGAAGACAAGAUACACCAGCUAUCUAUCUAUCUUCAGCUUGUCGACUGAUUUUUGUUUUUUCAUUCGAAAACAAAAAUCCAUUGGCUGCCAACUACACAGACUCAGAAUUGGACUACCCACAAAAUCAUUAAGAAGUCGAUGGCCGUGUUUGCUGAUGUGGUGCUGUCCAUGGUGAACAUGAUUUCUGGCUCAGAUUUAAUACUGCACACCGUUAGACACACAAAGGUAGAUACUGGGAGUUACAUGAAAGUCUGAGAUUUGCAGAUGAAGAAAAUUCUCAUUGAAUAUUUAUGACAAUUCAGCAACACAGAGCUCUUUUCUCUACCUUUGGGGUUACCAAAGUGAAGAGAAGCACAGCUAUAAAGUUCAACCAGAGUUCAAACAGGUUCGACUUCUUGCUCCAAGCAAAAAUCCAUGUCAGAAAGAGUCAGAGGUUUCUUCAGGGGGGUUCAGACAAGAGUGAUGCUGUAAAAAUCCCAGUUCUAUUUAGUUACAGUCUUUUCAGCUCUUUCCUCUGAGGUACUGUGUCCUAAUAGAGUCAGUGGAAGACUGUGGCAGCUGCUGCUUCCCUGAAGUGUGUACGUGUGCGUGGUUUUUCAAGCAGGAGGGUUUCUGUUCAUGCACACAUUUGUGUGUGAAUACUUGUGAGUGUGCGUAUGCUUCCCCCUCCACAAGCCUGCAUGCUAUCACUUCUGUGAAAAUGAGACCCCACUUCCCAUCAAUCCCUUCCCAGUUAAAUAAGAGGGUAGGCAACUAGUUAUCAGCUGCUCGCAUGGCUGAAUGUCACAAACAGUGCCAGCAAGCUGUCAUUCAACUCUGCUGCUUUGAAUUGUGCCACUGAGGCCUCUACGACUCGCAGCUUACCCAUCAUUUGUUGCAGUGAAAAAAAAAAAGAUGAUAGAGGGAGACGUUCAAGAGGAACAGUGCGGUCGUGAACCUGGCGUGGGAGGAAACGCAGAGAGGGAGGGGUGAGACUACAAACGGGAAAGUAAGGUGUGUGUUGUGCAAAAGCAUGAAUGUGAGCAAAUGAGAGCAUCCAGUACACCAACAAUAGGCUGAAAAAUGAAUAUGAAAAUGAAACCGAUCUGAGGCAAAGUAAAGUAGAAAAACCUUCAAGAGUUCAUUAUUUGUUUGAAAUGGUGAGUAAGGAUGAAAAGAAGGAACAAUGAGAGGAGUAUCUGUUGGAUGAAAGGACACUUUGACUUCUUCUGUCUUGGGGCUAUGUGUCAAUCAAACCUAUGUGUGAUUCAUCCUGCUCGCUCUCCUUUCUUGGGUAUUUGAUCUUCCGUCUGAGGAGUGUGUCUCAUUUAGAUGAAGGUUGGAUCCGUUAACUGUUAACUGAUACUCCUUAGUGUUGUUGCUCUUUGUGUGUGUGGGUAAAUGUACUGAUGGAGAGUGAACUUUCCUUAAUUUUAAAGUGUCUAAAUAGCAGAAAAUGUAAGGAAUGGAGUGCGGGGAAGAAGUUUGGAGGAUAACAAAGAAAAUAAGCAAAAACUCUGAUUUAGCACAUACCUUGUGGAUAAAAGUGGUAACGGAGUAAGGGGAAUGUGUUGGAGUGAGAGUAUGUUUAUAUAUGUGCUGCUAAAAGUUGUAUUCCAGCAAAAAAUUCAGUUAGGGUCAAACACACUGUAACACCGAGUUAGACUCUCCCUCGAGAGAUGAAUGUUGCCGACUGCUUGCUUCUCUAUUUAUACCAACUUUAGUAACGACCACAGGAUAGCAAUACAUUGCAAUCUGCAUCUCCACACGCAAACCUCCACCAAAACGCCACUCUUUAGUGACAAAUAAUGCUCAGAACAGCACCAAACUUCAUCAACAGUACAUAUAGGGGCCUAGCCAUAGCACUAGCCAUCAAACUUCUUUUUAGCUUUGCCUGAUUUCUUUCGCAAGGAGACUAAAAACAACUCACCUACUCUCCUCCAGUAGCCACUUGUUUGUGGGGGAGCCCUGAUGAGUUGAUCACAGAGUGCAGCUCAAGAAGGAACAUUUAUGAUCAUUACUUCAUUACUGCAUCUGCAUUGCAAAAUGAUUAUUAUAAUUAUUACUUCAAGGAAAUGAUAAAGUAAUCAUCAGUGAUGUUCUUCCUUGAGCUGCGAAACUCCGCUGCACUCUAAGGAAAUGACCUGCUGCACUCUGUGAUUGACUCGUUAGGGCUCCCCCCACAAACAAGUGGCUGCUGUGAGAGAGUGGGUGAGUUGUGUUUAGUCUCUUUGCUAAAGAAAUUAGGCAGAGCUAAAAAGAAGUUUGAUGGCUAGUGCUAUGACUCGGACCCUACAUGUCCUGUUGAUGAAGUUAGGUGCUGUUCUGAGCAUAAUUUGUGGCUAUAGAGUGUUUUUUAAAAUUUUUAUUAAGGUGUGUACGUGGAGCCGUAGCUCGCCGUGUAUUGCUAUCGUGCGGUCGUUACUUAAAUUGGUAUAACUAGAGCAGCAAGCAGUCUGCAACAUUCAUCUCUACGGUGUGUUUAACCCUAACCUAAUUUUACACCGGAAUAUCCCUUUAAGCCAUUAAAUCUCUGUGAAGUGAAAACUGUAUUUCAAAAGUUUCAUUUGUGUUGGUUAAUGUUUGUAUAUACUGGUGUGUGCAGUUUGAGUAUUAUAUAUUCAUACUGAGAAAUCUUCACGUUUACCAUUGGGUAAUUACUGUGACUGUAUAAUGUAGUGCAGUGAUUUGAUUUAAACAGUUCCUCUGAAGCUGAAUUGGUAUGCCCUGCUAAGGCGAGAAAACCAGUGAAUCCUUGAUGUGAGACAAGAGUGUGUGAGCAAAUUGAGUUGGCUAACAGGUUAGUUGGCGAGCUCCUUCGCCCCGCAAAGCUGUAAUUUUGAACUAGAUAAUUAUGGUGGAAUGUAGAGAAGGGGCAGGGGAAGCAAAAUGAAGAUUAUGUGUGUGUGUGUUUUAGCAAGAAAGUGUGUAAGUGAGUAUAUGUGUGUCUGUGCAAGUCUUCAACAGACGCACUAUGAUUAGGCUGCAGUUUCUGCUAGCUGUUUAUCCCCAUUACUGCUGCCAAGGAGCUUACCAGCUAAAUUGGGCAAAUUCUGGUCCCCUAAACAAAUUACUCGCUCUAUUUGAGGAGGGAAAUCAAAUUAAGAAAUUAGCACAGAUCCAGCACUGUACCCCAGCCAGUAAUGCAUUAGUUCUUAGUUUAGAUUUUGUCAGUCUUCCAUCGACUAUAAGAUUAUGGAUACUGUUUGGAUGCUGAUGCAUAUGGAUUACAUGCACCUUGCCAACUGUACGCACACUUGGGAAGUUUGACUAAAUAGCAGGAUGUGUUUGUACUAGCAGAAUCGUGUUAAACCCCAAGUGGGCCAGUGUGUCUUGAUUUUGGUCUCUCCUGCUCCACCUGAAAGGCUAAACGUUUGGAAACCUGUAUGAUUAAAACUGGAGAGGUGCAAGAUGACUAAAUCUUACAAUGCCUGCAGCAAAUCUGAAACCCAGAGCAGCUGCUUUGAUUUCAAGGAAACUGUUUAAGAUCGUCAGAUAAUGAAUUUAAGGAUUCAAAUUGAAAAUGGUACUUCCCACAAAAUCAGAUAUAGAAAGAACUUGUCCCUGAUUAAACCGUAACAGUUUGAUGACAUGGGUUUGUCAGUGCUGGCCCUUACGGCGGUUUGAUACCACUACACUUACUUAAGCGCAAGCAAAGUUUCAAAAAGCAGUGGUUAUAUGUGAGUUCAUACCGUUCGCACACAGCUCUACAGAAUGUAGGUCCUUCGGAUGAAACAUUGUUCACUCCUGCGUUUGGUUGUUCUACAACAAAUCCUUGAACAGGAGUGGGGAGGAAGUUAUAAAGAAUACAAGAGGGGAGGGGAGUGGUAGACUGUCGGAAUAAAGAACAGGUUUUAAAAAAGGAGUGGUUAAUGUUGAAGAGUGGAGGAGGCAGAAAGUGAAGAGCGGUAGGGAACGAAGAAAAGGUGAUGCAAGAAAUGAAAUGAUUAGAUCAGAGCGCAAGAAAGGAGAACUAAACUUAUGAUGGAAAAGUGAGAGAGGAUAAUUCACCUGCCGUAUGCUUCUUUCUCUUCACAUUCUUUUCUUUUCUUUUCCCACUUACAUUUAAACUACAUCUCAUCCCAUCCCUCUUCUUCCUGUCACCCUCCCCUGUUUCUCCCAAUACACUCUCACCUGAGAAAGAUUAAUCGUUCCAGUCGAAUCGCAUUACCUCCCUACCCAACUACUAACUCUCUCCCUCUCUCUCUCCACACACACACACACACACACACACACACACACACACACACACACACACACACACACACACACACACACACACACACACACACACACACAAGCACACGGAGAGAUGGAUAAGGGGAGAGGGGGAGGACCUGUGAUCCAGAGACAGAGGGAGAUAGAGGAUGGAGGGUAUGGGGGUAUUGAGGGAGUUGAAUGCAUGGAUGGUCUGCUCAUUAAACUCAUCACAUUAUUUUAGCCCUGUGCUUUAUUACACUUAACUGGGACACUAGGCACUCAGUCACCCCCCCACCCUCCCACCCCAACCCACCCACCAACACACACAUAUACGCACACACAAUUCUGUAUGCACAUCCAUCCUAACCUGCAGGUUUGCCAUAAUGUGUUUAUGACGUAGCAUGUUUAAUUUGAGGAAGGGGAUGAUUCAUGGCCCCCUGAUAACAAUGCUUCAUCAUUCCACAGCACCUAUGUCAUAAAGAGGGGCUGUGCAGGGCAGGAAAAACUGCUGUUAAUGGGAUGCUAAUCAUCUCAUAACUUGGAAAAUGGGCUAGCAGGCACACCCUUCAUGCAAAUGUGUGUGUUUACGUGCGCAUGUUUAUUCAUGUGUAUUGGCCUUUUUUUCUGGCGCAUGGUUGAUGUGUACGGUUUCCCGCAUUUUGGAUUUUGCACGACUUUGUUUAUGUACGUACUGUAUGUGUGAGAGGGUGAAUAUUGAUCUAUGGCCCUGUGCUCCAUCACCCUGCCAAGCAUAACAAGAAAGAAUGGGCCACUGAGCAGGUGCUCUUCCUCUGCUGACUUAUAAACAUAUGCACCGGAGUAAACACCUCAAUCACUGCAGGGGGCAAGGCUCGGUGAAUUAAUAAAAUUUACAUGCUCCUGUUUGGGGAUAAUACAUUCUUAGUUUUUAUGCAUACAACCUCUUUCGUUGUUUACAGUCAAUGAAUCUAAGAAAAAUGUCUUCUUGGUGAAAACAAAUCAAUGUGCAGGUUAAACCGGGUCAAAACAGCCAAGAGAGAGCAAGAUAAGACUUGUUUAUGAAUGAGUCUGUCACAGACUGUUUUGGUAUUUACAUCGCUGAACACAGCUAGAUUGGCCAUAAUGAAUCUUACUUUUUACUGUAUGAAGAUAUUUUUUUUCUCUCUGGCCACUCUAAAUAAAUAAUAAUAAAAAAAUCUGCCUAUUUAUAUGUUAAAAAUGCACAGUCCAUGUUCGAGAGUUUUCUCUCAGGCUGCAAAAAGUAUGAGUUUUCCAUAGCUGACACCAAUUACAUCAGUGCCAUUAAGAAAAAGCUGCUAACCACCAAAAGUUUUACUGAUUGAUUUGAACCCAAUUCACUGCAGAUACUCAAUAUUGUAGUCUUAUGUAAGAUACAACAACAAAAAAAAACAAUGACCUUACAUAUUCUGCAUAUACUAGGGGUGGGAGAAAAAUCGAUUCACAGAAGUAUUGCAAUUUUUUAUUUUAGAAUUUUUAAAUCAAUUUUUGUGUCCAAAAAUCAUUUUUUUUUCUUCCAAAUUUAAAAAUAAAUCUUAUAAACUGUCUUACAUGUGAUGUGUGUUUUAGGGGAGAAUAUGGUUCCUGGAAUAGUCAGUAGGCAAUCAUAAUCAUUCAACUGUUUCACUGGUGUUAAAAAUUUAGGCUAAAUAGCGAGAAAAUCUACAAUAUCGUAGAAUCGCAAUUUAAAUCGAAUUGGCAUCCAAAAAAUGGUAUAAGAAUUGAAUUGAGAGAAAAGCAUAUCGUCCCAGCUCUUGGAUGCUCUGUGCAUGUGUGUGGGUGCAGGAUGUGUCUAUCUCAAACGUCCCUUAGAGAUGUGACCAUCUAAAUAAGCUUACUCAUGUUAGAGACCAGCGUACCAGGUAUCUACAAUACUCUCUAACAAUAACAUGUUCAGCAUCCAAGUUAAAAGAUCACCUAAGACUGUCAGGGUGCAUUUGUUCAGAUUUGCAUUGCUUUGAAAGCUGCAUGCCUACACAUUCAAUGUUGAACCUGCUUACCCCUGUUUCAGACAGUUUUGUGUUUGUGUGUACAAACAUGGUAUCACAAAUUUAGGAACCAGAAUGAUUUUGAGAACCAGUUUUGCUACCUGAUAAACUCUGAAACAAACUGUGGCCCUCUCCUGGUUUCUGACAGCUGCCGAGUUUCACUUUCAGUAAUGAAAGGAUUAAACUGGAAGUUUAGAGGGUAGAAAGCAUUAAUAUGACCUGUUGAAGUCUGUGGUGAACAAGUUUCUGGAUAUUUACAGCAAAAUCAAGUUACAUCAUGUUUGAAAGUACUAAAGACUCUCUCAGUAUAUCACAAUUGAAUUUGAGGCUGCAAUUCCAUUUAAAGUCGAUUCUGAAGUCAAAUCAAGAAGCUACUACAUAGAGGUGCUUAUUUCAAGCUUUAUUUUCACUGCUUUAAGUUGACCAACAAGUACAAAAAAGUUGCAGUUGUAUCAUGGAAAGCAGGCCCUUUAAGAUUUCAACAUCCACCAGGUAACACACCAACAAAAUGAGUCCUGGGUUGACUGGGAGUAGCGAGGAAGCAAAAUGCCUUGCAGUGUUUGGACAGAUGGGCAUAUUUGUAAAAUAUUGAACACUAAAACAUGCAUCAUUGUCUGAGUGAGGAGGCUUUUACAGCUGUCGUGCAGUGUCACCAAAGCUGAGAAAGUCGGACAGCAGUAUGUUAAGAUAUGAAACCAUCUUUGUCAAAGUGAAUUAGAGGACAAGUUCCCCCAGUCUGAUGAGCUAAAUAAAAUUCUUGCGACUUAACCAGCUGGAGAACCAGAAUAUGUUGUCAAGUGCUACCAGCUCUUCUCAUGAUGUUGGAUUGGAUUGAGACAGUAAGUAAUGUCAGACUAUUUUUAUAUUUAUGCAAACUUUCUGACCUGUUACUGAAGCAGCCAUUUUUUUUCAGUUGUUGCAUUGGAAACCAACCUUUUGGAUAAUUAGCAAGCUCAAAGCACCGCCUCUUAGUGAUCUCGGCUCUCUUUUUUUUCGUCUCACACCACCACCAUGUGAGCUCUGUCCACAUAUGCCCAAAUAACCCAGGGCAAAGAUGGAAAACGCCUUCUGUUUGGGAACAACUUUCCUAAACAAUCCAGCUGUGAAAGAACCCCAACUUUAAUAGAGGUUGAAAAAGUUAAGCCGAUCAAACUCUGUGUAAAAUGAGGUGAAAUAGUUUUGUCUACAGGGGGUGCCAGAACUGAUAGUUCCCAAAAUGAAAACACCUCUUUACCGCUUUGAAUAAGAUUAAGAUUAAUCUAAAGGUUUUAUAGCCACUGGCAGUGUGAACUACCACCCACGAUAAUGUCAGAAAGAGACCUUUUUAUUUUUUUCCAACCCAUCCUAGACUUUUCCUGUCAAAGUUAUUUGAUCCUUUACACCCCUUUUAAUAUCUUUCUUCUUCUUCCAACUAAGCAUUUUCCAGGACCGCUGACAAAGUCAUUGUUUUAAUUAUCUGAAUCUUUGUUAUUUCUUUCUCUUGUCUAUCUUCUUUACGCAGUACAACACAGACAUGUUUCCCUAUCAGCCCCUCUCUCAUACCUUUCCUUUCUUCCAUCCCUGACAUGCGUGUCCAUGGCUGCCUACAGUCUCAUAAUCCUUUCAAUCAAUCAGAGGUAAUAUAGUUUUAUUUGACAGGUGUCCCUGUGUCAUUGGCCUCUGAUAGACAGGGCCACACCCACCAUGGGCACUUUAUAAAAUGAGCAAACCCCCCCAGGAUGAGAAUAGUUAAUAAUAUAUAAAUCAAAUUGAUGACAUUGUUGCCUGUUUGUAAUCUCGUCAUGGAGCAUAUGCAGCGUAGUAUGCACUCUAAGAAGGCUUCAGCAAAGAAGACAUGGCUUUCUUAGGAUUUUUUCUUAUAGAGAUGGGGAAAAUAUAACACUGCAUUCUCAAUGUUUGUUGAUAUACAAGACAUUAAAGAGAGUAAAUACAUUUUUGAUUCGAGCGAGAUAUUGUGCUACUUGAAUUACAUUUUUCAGCAACUUUAUGAGUAAACAUUUGUAAUCAAUGCAAAUCCCAAGUUCCAGUUCUUUCUGUGGAUAAAUCAACAUUCACCAAAAGCGUAUUUUUUAAUUUGUUUUUUUGCAAUAUUUUCUGGGUAAUCAACAUUCACUUUAGAGUAACUAAAAAAUGAUCUUUGCUUUUAAUGUGUGAUGCAUUUAAAGCACUUUGUUAAAUUUGCAAUUCAGUGGCAACUGUUUGUAUAAUGAACCGUUUCAUUCAGUUUUUCAGCAGAAAUGAGAAACAUUUACAUGAAGGUGCCACCAGGGAGUUUUGGCCCCUUGAAAAAAGAUCAUAUUCAUCCCAACCACUUCAAUGUGGCGAAUGUUCUACUCUACAUUAAGUCCCUUAUCAUUCACAGGCCCACAGAGACGACCAGUCUCUUCUCUGUCCAGAUGGCUGUAUCCCAAAGAGUCAAAUGUUCAGGUUUGUUGCUUUGUCUUACUCCCACUCCAAUUUGAAGUAUCUUGGAUUUUGGAUGAUCUGUUAAUUAGACACAACUUAUAAAAGAACAUUCAGAGUAAUUUUAUUAUUCCUCAGUCCUCAGACUUUAUCAGUUAAUUAAAAAAAAGAAAUAUUUGUUUAUCACAGCCAAACAUUGAUGGUCUUAGAUAAAAGCAAAUAAGAAGCAAAAAUUAAAGAUUUUAACCCUGGAACACUAUCGCCGGGUGAUUUUCUCUUGACCAAACAUGUUUACAGGAUUUUCAUUAUGUUGCGUUUGUCUGGGUAUCAUGGGUCCAUGGGUAACUUCAGCAUUGCCUUUGACAUCUUUGAAGGCAUAUUUGUUUCCCUGAUUCAAAACCUGCUUUUUCCUACAGGCACGUUUUCAGGUGAUUUUCACCCAGUGAUUGUGAUAGAGGGUGAAGCAGGUUUGGGUGGAUUUGAUAGCGGCAUGUAGGCGAAUAGGGUCAGUAAGAGUGGUCCUGGAAUUUGUAUACUAUCUUUAUUUGGCGUAGUGGUUAUGAAAUAACUAUCACAAAGUAGUGAUGUUCAAGGGAAUUCAUAUGGUGAUAAAAAAAUAUUUUAGUCAGCUGGUCAUUUUUACUCACUCAAAAUAGGCCAUAUUUUGGUUCUCUCUCCUGCAGCUGUUGUUGUGUCGGGGACCCUGAGUCUUAACCAGAGAAGACUUACAUGCCCCAGGAAUGGAUGGAAAAAAAACUAAGAUUACAGUUUCUAUAUCUAUUUAUUUAUUUUAAGGAAUUUUUUUGUUCAUGAAUGCCCAAUUUCAGUUAUUUUGUUGCAUUUUUAUAUGGUCCCCUCAUGGCACUUUUUUUCCCUCCCUUUGGACGUUGCACAGUUAAAAGUUAUUUACCAAUCUAUCACCAAAGCAACUCCAUUCUUUACAGAUUUUGACAGUGUUAGAGUAUCUAAUGUUGCCCUGAGGGCUUAUUUUAUUGUCUUUCGAUUAUGUAUUCAUUAGACUAAACACAUGGCUACAUUUGUUUGUUUGCUGUGGCCUGAAAGUUCUAAUUAUAGGGUUUUGGUUAGCAUGGCGGUUUGGGCAGGUGCCCUGUAUACUGAGUUUGAGUCUUGGCAGCAUCUCCUCGCUCCAUAUCAUCCACGGGUCUUUACUCCUAUUCCUUUUUUCUCAUCAGCUGUCCCAUCACAUAAAGGAAGUAAUGCCUUCAAAAACUUGCUUUUACAUACUGAUUUUAUUUCCACAAACAAACACACAGAAUUCUCAGUUUCUUGAGCCUGAUUUUGAGUCUCACAGGGCACAUUUACCCAUUUCUGGGCAUGAGGAGGAAAAGAGAAAAAAAGGUUUUAUGUGUCCUAAAGUGCAUAAACUAGACUACUAUUAAAAAAAAGGAUUCGAUUUGCAAAAAAAGAUUAAACUUUUCUUUAUUUCCCAAAAGUCGUUUCUGGGCAUGCUUUCCAGCUUCAUUACCAUAACAUGAUGAAGGCUUCUCGCACAUACAACUGUAAUUCUAAUGCAUGUAUGACUGAAUGGAAGGUUUAUGUAAACGAGACGCUGAAUUAUUCAUGCUUUAGAUGCCUGUCAAAGGCUGAUUUCCUACUGUGUAUGUUUGUGUUAAUGUUUGUGCAUGAGUACGUGUUUGUGUGCGUGGUGGUUUUAUGCCAGUCUGGUUUGUGGUAUGGGUGCACAAAUGUGUCUGUGUCUUGUGUAUGUGCACUAUUUACUGAUGCAUGUGUGUCAGUUGUCAAAUUAUUGUCAUCAGAUCAGGAUAGUCAUUUGGGCUUGACCUCAUGUAAUAGGGUUUGACAGGCAGUGACUAAGACAAUAAUUACAAACACACAGACAGCCUGUAUCAAAGCCUGCUGACUGGAAUUAAAAUCAUCUUAGAGCUGUUGUUCCGAAAGGGGAAGCAAUUAUAUGCACACAGUCCGGCACUGAGAGAAAAAAAAUCUAUAGAAAUCAAGAAAACUUUUUCAGCACUUGGGGAAAUACUGUCUUUUAUUUGGAAAAAAAGUGCUUUGUGGCCUGAAAUUAAACUACUGAGCUGAAUAUGUAAUUAAAAAAUUUCAAGGUACUACGUGAUUCCAGGUGUCCCCUCAUUCCCCUAACUCCCUAAUUACGUUUCACUUGCUGUGGUUGGUCGGUCGGUCGUUCUCUUUCUCCCUCUGUCUCCCUCUUCAUUGUCUUUCCCUCACUCCUCUCCUUUCCUCUCUCAGUAGAUGUCACUGCAGUUCCACUCCAGCCAGGGGGAGAGGAUUGCAAUGCAUCGUAGGACACAGACACCCGCAGGUGACGAUAGUGGUGACGAAAGAGACUGUAGGGGAGGAGAGAGGUGUGGAAAAGAUAUAACAAGGAGAGGAAGAAGUGAGAUAGAGGGGAGGGAAGGGAGGAUGCAGCAGACAAGCUUUUCAUUUUCAGGGAACUCUGGUGGGCAGCUUUGGACAGAAGAGAAUGACUUAACAUGUAUCAUGUGUCCCUCCCAUUGUCAAGCCAGCUCUUGUUUACCAAAACGUCUUGGUACACUUUCAAAUAAUGACCCCUACAAAAAAAAAAAAACAGACACCUUUAUUCCAGGAAGACGUAAACUGUCAUGCCCCCAUCUUCAUCACUGAGUAAUGAAGAGAUAAAGCGCUGUUGCAUUAGGGGAAAUCUGAGUGAAGAUAAAAGUGUUGUUGACUUGUUUCUGUCACACAGAUAGCAAUCUGCCUCCUCUCCAGUGAUCCAAUACUUUCCCUGAUUAGAGCUCAGUGUAAUUACUUUAUUCAGUUUGGGAAAUGAAAAAUAUCACUGAUCACCUAGUGACAUUUACAGUUAUGUUUUACUUAGCUCACUUAGUAAACUUAGUUUAUUUUCAAAGCAGGUUUCUUUUUCUUUUUACUUGAAGUUUAGUAACGCUAUUUUGAUCAAUUCGGUACUCAAAUGUGUCUCAUAGCACAGUUGUAGUACUCAAGUUUAGGACUUAGACUCAAGUCCAACUUGAGUCCUGAUUUUUCAGAACUCUGGUUUCAACUUGGUCUACAGCAGUGAUGACUCUGACUUGUACGCACACCUAAAGGGAUAUUCCGGCGUAAAAUAGAGUUAGGGUCAAAGACACCAUAACAUCGAGAUGUACACCCCGACGAGAGAUGAAUGUUGCCGACCACUCGCUUCCCUAGUUCUCCCAACUUUAGUAAUGACCGCACAAUAGCAGUCUGAGGAGCCAUAAACAAACCUCAACCAAUAAGCCACUCUAUAACCACAAAUAAUGCUCAGAACAACAUCUAACUUCACCAACAGUACAUAUAGGGUCCUAGCCAUAGAACUAGCCACCAAAAAUGUUUUUUAACUUUGUGUAAUUUCUUUAGCAAAGACACUAAACACAACUCACCUACUCUCCUCCAGCAGCCGCUUGUUUGUAGUGAGACCUAAGGCCAGUCCAUUACGGAUUGCAGCGGGGUGACGCAGCUCAAGGAAGAACAUUUAUGAUCAUUUCUUUAUCAUUUACCUUAAGUAAUAAUCACCAUGUUAAUCAUUUCGCACUGCAGACACGGCAGUUCUGCCUUAGCGUCUCAGUCUGAUUGCAUUUCCAUAAAGAAAUGAUCCCUGUAAGGAAUAUCCCUUUAAGCACUGACUACAUUUAAACGUAAAGAUUAACACAUACAUGAUCAUUCCUAAAUACAGUAUCUGGCUGAAAGUAUACAGCAAACGGAAAAGGACAGAAUAUGUCUGUUUUUUGUACAGGGUUAACAAAAUGUAGUUGGAGCCUUUUUUUCGGCCAAACAGACCCCACCCAUCUGGAAAAUGUUGCGUGUCCAUGAGAAAUUUUGCCCAGUCUGCCAAAUAAAAAUUGUGAGUUGGGAUCCUGGUGUUUGAGUAGAAGGCCUGGUUUGCAAUUAGUGUUUUGAUUCCUUUCAAUGCUGCUCAGUGGGGUUGAGGUCAAGAGCAAGCAAUCAAGGUUCUCCCCAUGAAACAGUUUUAAUCAAAUCUGUGUGGACUUCUGUUUGUGCCCAGGGGCAGUCAUGCUGGAAAAAGCUCAAGACAUUCCCAAAACUUGUGGCUCUAAUAAGGCCCUUUACUAAAGUGCACUUCAGUGAAGGCUUCAACUUGAGUCAAAGUUAAACCUGGUACAAAAAUAGGCUGAAAACAGCAUCACUUUUUUCAUUCUAUGUUCUCAUUGUUUUGAUUGGAGAUUUCAUGCUUAUGUGCUGGUUAUCCGCAGCAGUUAAUACAGUUAUAUCACCUAAAAUCAGUGAUUAUUUUACAUGUUGUACUUGUCUACUUAACCAGAUGUUACUGGCAUAUACAGCAACAAAAAAACAGAGCAUUUUCCAUUCCUGACAAGAGUGCAGAGGCUGAUCAUGCAUCCACAGUGUAAUUACCUUGACACAAUGCAACACAUCCAAGGGUGAUUGUCAAAUGGCUUUACUGAAAUUAAAUUAAAAUUAAUUCCUGUUUUACUGUUUUCACAUUACAGGUGUUCACAAAAGAGGGUUCUCCCUCUGCGGGGAAAAAUAAGUGACCACAUUGUAGAAACAGUAAUUUUUGAUGAAAGAAGGCUAAUAGAGAACCAAAACCCACUCUCAAUUUGUCCAAACUCAGAAACAAACUAUGCUUUCUGUUAGAAAAUAAUAAAGAAUAAACUUGUAUUUGUGUUCCUUCUAAUAUUGACAAGUUAAUCAUUUAUGACCAAAAUAUCAGCUGUUAAAGUAAGGUGACCAUACAUCCUCUUUUACCUGGACAUGUCCUUUUUUGGGGGGGGCUGUCCGGGUUUGUUUGGCUGUGUCUGGGGAAGUUUAUAAACUCCUUCAAAUGUCAACGGUUUUGUACGGAAGUUUCGACUUUGUGUCACGUGGACUUACUAAGUUAGAAGCGCGUAAAAGAGACUCGACCUUACCCAAAAAACUCUUAACUUUGUGCAACUCCAUGGCUCCCCCCCUCUUGGUUGUAUCCUCUUUUUGAGAAGUCAGAAUAUGGUUGCCCUGUUUUAAAGUGAAAACUCCACAUUUAUAGAUUUGAGCACAACACUAUUGAGGUUCCUGGUUGGAGCAGGAGGAAAAGGAUAGACCAAAGUUUGAAUGUUAGAAUAUUCUAUCUAAUAAAAGGAAAAUGCCAAAGUAUAUCUUCAAGAAAGGAUAGGAGACGUUGACUUUCACAAUACUAUAACCAAAUGGUAGGCAGAGGAGGAACAGUCAUCUGACCGGUAGUUUGAAUUACAUCUGACUUCUGCUUUUGUCCCUACACAGUCAUUGCUAUCACAACAGUACAUAGACAACACUAUGCCAUUCUUUGGGCACAUGCCAAAAUGACUCUUGGUAGGACAGUCUGUUUUGGUUAGGAAAUUGUCCUGCGUCAGCGGCAGGUCACUUUGCCAGUGUGUCUAGAAUGAAAUGAGUAAUUGUUAUUCAUGUCGUCACUGUGAUUUCUGGUAUUACACAGAGUGACUUUAGUCAGAGGGAUUAUUUCUGUUUGAUUUAUGGAGAAAAUAUCCUUAUCUUGGAUUUUUCUGCUGAUCAAGUCUGUAAGUUUUCCCAGCAGAAAUUAGCAGCUGCAUGUUCAGUGGCAAAUCAGAGGCUCAAUAUAGCAGCUCUAAUUAAACACACUGACACCUUUGCACUAGUGCUUAGUUUGCAAUCCCCAAUGCUAACAGAAUGAGGUGUGCUGUAUUUCAUUAACACUCAUUUGCUACUGUUGUAUUCCAUAUGGAAUGUUUUUGGGCCACAGGAGACCAAUACCAGACUAUGUCCAUUUAUUUUUAUGUAUUUAAUUAUAUGUUUUAAACAUCUUUAUGGUCCUGUUGAAUAAAAAGAUAGAGCAAAGUUGCAUUCUGAAUAAAGAAAGAACUUCUCAUAAUGCAGAUAACAUCAUCUCUGUGCAUUAGUGCUGUUUAUGUAUAUUAAAAUGAGCUGCUUUUAGACAAAAUGUCAUCUUUUCAAUGUUGUUGCCAAAAACAUCCCUAAAUCACAAACACCAGUUGCAGCCACACACAGAGCAUUUAUGUAUAUAUAUAAAUAUAUAUAAACUUUAUACAACGUUCAAUAUAUCACUUUUUUUUUUGAUGAUGUUUUUACCAAGUGGCCAAACCAGCUAAGGGCUGUCCAUGAACAUAGUUUUUUAGCACUUAUCCAUGUGUUUAGAUGACCCGGACUGCAACACAGGAUGGGGUUAGUGUUUGUUAUCUUGUACAGAUCUGCAAAAAUUUGUAAGGGUGUUUGUGCUUAAAUAUCAUUCAGCACGAAAUGAACUCAAAGAUCAGACAGCAAGUGAAAAUAAUGAACAACGCUUAGUGUUUUCAGCAGGUGCAGUCCAUUGUCAUUGAAUUGCCUCAGAGUGUUUUGUUUGUUAGAGCAACAAGAUUUGCCCUUCUGCAGAAGUUGUACAGUGAGAAUGUACCAGAUGUUGAACCCCAAGGAAUACACAAGAUGAGGAUCAAAUUUCUGCCCUGUGUCCAGCCUUGAUUGGGCAGGAAUAGAAAUGAUUGACUGAUACGUGUGCAUUUAAAGUCAGUUAAAAGGUCGCAGUAAUCUCCUUUAUAUCAGUGAAAUGUUUCUGACUUCUAACACUUUGGAGGCUUCCAUGAAUGUGAAGGAAGGUUUGAAAUGGUCUAAUUCCACUAUGCAUAAUUAUGGUCUUUUUUUUUUUAAAGCGAACAAUGGUGAUCCAGGUAGAAUAAACGCUGUUCAUCUCUAAUUCCCCCCUUGACAAAUGAAUUGUCAUGAUCUUUGUGUUGCACUUAUUGGAAGUACUUUACUUUUGGCAUGAAGUCACAUGCAAGUGUCUUUGCACGAGAAGCAGUGUGAUUCCUGUUAAUGUGUGAGCAUGGAUUGCUUUAACUGUGAGUGUGAGCAUCUGCAUAUGUGGUUGUAAGCAUUCUUGUGUGUCACAGUUCAGGAGCAGACAAGUGGAGAGAGCAUUACCACUCUCUUCCUACACUAAUCAGGGAUUAGACCGUGUUUAAGAACAUAAUACACAACCGUAAAACAAAUGAGUGUGUGAGAGACAUGUUUAAAAUGGCCUAUAAAAAUGAAAUGAAUAGCUGUCUGUUGUUUGGCAUUAGUCAUGUCUUGAUAGAGCCAGGAUUUCUAAGUCAUUCAUAGGUUUCCUUGUUUUCUCUCAGACUUUUAUAGGAUGUGUUUUCAGUGGCUGCAAAUGAUUGCUUUAAAAUACCUAUCAAGUUUAGAAGCAAAGUGAAAUUUUAACAAACCAUAAAUAAAAUGGUGCUUUGUUGAAUAUAUAAGAAAAUGGGUUGUUGAAUAGUCACUUUGAGUGUUGUUUUGGAUGAGUCAGUGUCAAACAAAAAAAGCCUUUCUAUGCUUUAGGGCUGUGUGAAUAAAGCUGAAUAAUUAAGACAGGCUCUUUUCUUUGACCCAGCAUCAUUAAAUAACCAACUAAUUUGUCAAGAGAGACACGCAGAACUGCAAAUUUCAGGUAAAUUACUUUUUAUAAAUAAAAGAUUGGGUUGGUGUUGAUCUUGUAACUUUUAAUUGUGCCAAGCUUUCACAGACAGCUUUGGGCUGUCAGACAUUUUCUCAGUCCAUGGUCACACUUCGUAUUUACCUUUAGUAACUGUUUUCUUCACAAAUACAGAAUUAGGAUUGAAGAAGAAAAAAAAGGGAAAAGCUUAGUUUUUCUUUUUUUCAACGUAACAUUGACUGAUAGGGCUUGUUAGAGUCUGAUAAAAAACCAAUAACCUGAAAUAUAGUUUAAAAAAAUGUAAUAAAACCUAAAAUGUGGUAACUGACCCAAAAUGUAAAAAGUUGCUACAUUUUUGGCAAAAAGUUAUUCGCACUGGGCUCAGCAUCGUGUUACAUUAUUGACCAAUUAUUACAUUUCAGGUUUUAUAACAAUUUUCUUAAAUAAAAUUUGGGUUAUUGUUACAUAUCAGGCUUUAACAGGGCUUUUUUGUUUGUUUUACUUCUGGUGUUUAUUUCUUUCACAUAACAAGUCAUCAUUUAGAUCAUUAUUUUUUUCAAGUAUUUGUUGAAACAAUACAUUUCUGGAGUGCUUCAGUUAACUGACCUAAAGGAAUCCGUUGACUCUCCUCUCAUCACAUUUACUGGCAUUGUGCUUGCAGACUACAAAUGGUCACUUGACACAACUAUGAGCGAAAGGGUUCUUUUUUUUUUUUGCCUGCACUUAAACAGAGAUUUGAUGAGAGUGGAGAAACAAGGUAUCCAGAGUAAAUUAGAGCAGCAGAGUGAAGGAAGAGAGAAAAGGAGAGAGAGAGGGAGAGAGAAGGGAAGAGAAAGAAACUGAACGACUGAAAGGGAGAGAAUGUGACAGACCGGAGGAAGGUAAGGAAGGCAGUCUUCCUGGGGAUGUAGGAAUGAUUAAUGUGAAACUGUCAAAGAGUUGGAGGGGAAGAGUCAUGGCCAGGUGCAGAGAGAAGAAUAUGACAGAGCGAGAGAAAGAGAGAGAGAGAAAGAGAGAGAGAGAGAGAGAGAGGGAGGAUGGCAAGAUGGCACAAAAUGUUUCAGGACGAAGUGUAAGAGGGAGAAUGCUGAGAUGCAUAAAAGGGGCUCUGGGAAAGACUGCUUGUCGGACAUAAGUAGUAGGAAAAAGGGAUAGGGAAAAAAAGAGAGUAAAAAUGAAAGUGUGAAACAGGAUUCAGAAAAGACAACCACAGGACUUAAAGAAAGGCAAAAGGAGCAAAACACUGCCUGUUAUGAGUGAGACAAUCACUCAGAGGUAAUUUGCUCCGAUGAGAAACUAGUGUUAAAGUUCUUUAUGGUUUGUAGAGUGUGUUGUUGUGUAUGUAAGCGCGCGUCUCUAUGCUCUAGUUCAUGAUACAAAAGCUAUUGCAGUUUAUUUUCAAAGCUCCUUUGAGAAUAGUUUUUCUGGUAACUGAAUGAAAUUAUUACUGAUGCUUUCUCUUUUUAGAGCUGAUGUCAUGAUGUCAUUGUAUCAGCUGGAUGCAAGAAGAAAUAAAAAUGGAGGCACUGUCAGCACUGCCAAAGAUCAUA
rnacentral:lncRNA from 1 species